rnacentral:lncRNA from 1 species
UCUCCUUCUCCUCUUAGCCCUAAUCUCUAAUAGAGAGGAUAGAAAUAAAAUUCUUUUUGAUGGAAUGAGACCCCUCUUAGAUGUCAAUUUCUUUACAGAAGCAGCUAAUGCAUUAAUAGCAUUAAUCACUACAUCAUGUUUUGCCCUGCAAUCUUGACAUUUGCAUGCAGAUCAUUCAUUGGGAGAGGCAAAAUCUGUAUAACCAGUAUGAUCAUACUCAUAAUGAUUUGCUUUAAAUACUGUAAGAGGAGCAUCAUUAGCACCAACAGCAGCACCACUACCACCACCAACAGCUCCAUCAACAACAAUAAGCUCACCCUCUAAAAUUAUUUUUCUUGUAAUAGUUGUUGCUCCAAACAAUUCCAUUUUUCUUCUAUCGAUGACCUUAGGAUCCUUUAAAGUUUGUACAUACCGUAAAAUAAGAAAAAAUGGCAUCUUCAACUCUCGAUUGGUUGGAACUAGCGACGGAUGCACAUUCUAACAUAAAUCAUUUCAUAUAUUAGAAUGAUGAUUAGAUCAUUCAAAAAAAAUUAAUUAAAAUAAAAAAUUAAUUAUAAUUAUACUUAUUGCAUCCUUCGGAAGGUUGAAGAGAUCAAUAAAUUUUGCAUUUUUAUCAGUUUUGGCCGACAACCAUCUCAAGAUUCUUGGACAGAAAUCUGGUAGUUCACUUGUUGCCUCAAAUAAGGAAUGGCUUCAAAAUCCCAAGCCUAUAAAAUAACGUAAAUAAAUCAAAACCAUUAUGAAGCAAAAAAAAUAAAUGAUAUCAUAAUAGAAGAAAGAAACUUUUACCAUGAAAGCCCAUGGGAAGCCAUAUAAGUUGACUGUCUUUGGCACUAACAGAGUCAACAAAUAUUUGACAGUCAUUUUGAAGCUUUCAUACCCCCAUGGAUAGUUGUUAAACGCCUUAAGAUCCUCAGAGAGCUUUAUAAAAUCGAGGCUUAUGUUGUUGUUAACUUCUCUCGUCCAAAGAAUAUUAUGUACAAACCAAAUCAAGCACAAUGACUGCUUGUGCUUCUUUAAAAGUCCUUUACCUUUCAAUGUUUUUAUCAAAUUUUUAUUUUUGAAGCUUGGACCAACAAUGGACACCAGGUCAUCACGAUCACACGACUUGCCUUUGCCUUUUUUGGGUGUGCGGGGUAUUUUUUUUUGGGUUAGAAUAGNNNNNNNNNNNNNNNNNNNNNNNNNNNNNNNNNNNNNNNNNNNNNNNNNNNNNNNNNNNNNNNNNNNNNNNNNNNNNNNNNNNNNNNNNNNNNNNNNNNNNNNNNNNNNNNNNNNNNNNNNNNNNNNNNNNNNNNNNNNNNNNNNNNNNNNNNNNNNNNNNNNNNNNNNNNNNNNNNNNNNNNNNNNNNNNNNNNNNNNNNNNNNNNNNNNNNNNNNNNNNNNNNNNNNNNNNNNNNNNNNNNNNNNNNNNNNNNNNNNNNNNNNNNNNNNNNNNNNNNNNNNNNNNNNNNNNNNNNNNNNNNNNNNNNNNNNNNNNNNNNNNNNNNNNNUUUAAUAAAAAUAUAAAAUAAUAUAUUAUUAUUGAUUAAUGCAUCGUUAAAAAGGGAUAACAGUAAAUCAAACAAGCAAAAUAGUAAAAUAACAGUUACAACAGAUCACCGAUCUGUUGCACUAGAUAGUACAUCUGUUGCAGGAUAUAACUAAACUAUUACAGCAGAUGAGUAAUCUGUUGUAACAAUACAAAAUAUACCACUCAUCUUUUAAGACAAAUGAAUGGUCUGUUCAAUAGAUCAUACAACUAUUGUGACAUCAUCUGUUGCAAUAUAUGAGUGAUCUUUUGGAAUAGUUAAAUAAUCCGUAGCAACAGCUGAGUAAUCUACUGCGAUAAUAUAAAACAUAUCACUCAUCUGUUGAGAAAGAUGAAUGGUCUGUGCAAUAGGUCGGAUAUCUGUUGCAACACAUGAGUGUUCUGUUGGAACAGUUAUCAACAGUCAAUAUUGUUUAGAUUUCUUCCAAUAUAGGGUCGUCUAUCGCGGCAGAUGAAUGAUCAGUUGAAAAAUUAAGUCUUGGACUUUUCCUGUAGGAAGAGUUGGUAGGAUUUUAUCCAAUAGGAGGCUCAUCUGUUCCAUCAGAUUAUUAAUCUGAUGGUUCUUCCAUUGUACCAGAUGGUUAAUUAGUUGCAUCAAAUUUUUUAUUCGAAGCUUAAUCUCUUGCAACAUAUGGUAAAGUUGUUGCAUCAAAUUAUUAAUCUGUUGCAUCAGAAUUGUAAUCUGAUGGUUCCUCUGGUGCAUUAGAUGGUUGAUCUGUUGCAUCAUAUGAUAAAUCUAUUGCAUCAGAUAGUUAAUAUGUUGCACCAGAUGGGUAAUCUGUCGGAGGAAACAGUAGCACAAUUUCGUUAAACAAAAAACAGCAAUUUCACCAUUUUUACCAAGAACAAGAAAAGAAUAAAUCAAACCAAAUUGUCCUUUUGUUUUUAUAAACACAAAAAAUAAAAAUCAAACUUCAAAAAAAUUCAACAAACAAUAAAAUAUCAUAAUUCACUUCUAAGAGAAAAGAUAAGAAAUACCAUAAAUUAGGGUUUUAUUCAGACCGCAUUUCAAAUUAGUGCAACAAAUAUUGAAAUUGUUAACCAAUACUAUAAGAGAAGUUGGCUCAAGUUCCUUGUUUUCUUCAAAACUAAAAGGGCCAUAAAUUUUUACCUGUGAAAAAAGAAAAGGACCGAUGAAGAAUUUAAAGUUGUUGUGGCCGGAGAGCAAGGCUAUCACAUCGAUUGAAGUCGAAAAGAAACUAAAAUCCCAACUAUUUGUAGUCGAAUAUUGAAGUCGCCGAGGAUUGAAAUGAAAAAUUUGCAGAACAGUUAGUUGGGAGAGAGUUGAGAGGAGCUAUCGAGACAGAGAUGAGAGACAGGUUGAUUGAAUUGAAGAGGGAAACUCGAAGCCCAACUAUUUGUCAUCGGGGGUUGAAGGGAGAAAUUUUACAGAACUGUUGGUUGGGAGAGAAUUGAGAGAAGCUGUUGAGAGAGUGGAGGGAGUGGUUGAUUUGGAUUGAAGAUGGUGUGGGUUGGGUUGAUUUGUAUUUUUGAAAAGAUUAGAAAGUUUUAAAAAUAUUAAUCAAGUCCACAAUUAACUUGAUCAAGUUUCCUACUAAUGUUUGACCCUAUCUAUUAAUCAAUGUCACCAAUCCUUCAUUCAAGACUUAAAAGACACAUAUUCUUCAAUUUUCUCAAGUUACAUCCUUAAAUGUACUUUUUAAGAUUGUAACUUAACAUUCAAUGAUUAUGAUUCACUUGCAUUUACUGUAAAAAUUAUUUCGUUUAGUCUUUUAGAUUUUAGUUUUUUAUACUACACAUAAUCAGUUAAAAAAUAAACAAAUAAAGAUGUAGAUUUUUAAGUAAAAUCAAGAAAAGAAUAAACUAAUUGAAAUGUCUAAAUACUUGCAAAUUUAAUUUUAUAAGAUUCCCAAAAAAUUUAUUUUAUUUUAUAGUAAUAAUGCUCCAUAAAGUUGUCUUUCUACUUAAGAUUGCAUUUUUGAAGUAAGUAUCUAAAUAACUGAUUUUAAAAAAUUCUAUUUAAAUAAAAAAGAGAAUAUUAGUCAUCAAUUCGAAUUAAAAUUAAUACUGCAAUUAUGUUUAUUAUUGAACUACCAUAAAAAUUAUGAUUUGAAUUUUAAUAAAUCAGUCAUUCUCUUGGAAUAAGAAAAAGAUGAAAAACAAUAUUAAAAAAAUAUACAUGCCAUUAAAUUUUAAAAUAGUAAAAUAUCUAAAUAUUUUAAAACUGAAAAUCCAAACUAUUAUUUUUGAUCUUCAAAUUCUAAUAUACUAAUAUAGAUAAUACUAUCUUUUUCUCUUCUUUAAUAACCAAGAUAAGAAAAAGAAAAGAAUGAACAAAACUUGACUUUGCUAUAAUAGUUUAUAUGCAUACAUGCAUAAAUUUAAAGUAUGAAUUUUUUAUUAUUUAAUAUGUGUACGAAUAUAACGUUUCUCUUCAUCAUUUAAAUCCUAAUAUGCAUGUUUCUUCUAAUAUUUAUGCAUUUUUCUUAUUCCCAUUCCCACUCAUGCUAGGCUAAUUCUCUCUAUUCCGUUAAUUUAUCAAAAAAUAUUAAAAAAUAUCUUUCUUCUUUUCACUUAUACUCUUUUUUGUCUUUUUAUUACCUUUCUUUCAUACUUUCAGUAUAAAAUAUUUUAAUUUCACCUUCAAAACAAUUGAGUUAAAAUAUUUUAAAUUGUAAAAAAGUAAAUAUUUAUUUAUAUUGAAUUUUCUCCAACCAUUUAAGAACCUAUAAUUUUUUUUAUUUUUUUUGCCAUGAACUGCAAAAAUUACUUAUAAGCACAAAAUUUUAAAUUUAGUGAUGAUAAUUUUUCAUUAUAUUCGGCAAUCACAACUCGAACUUGAAUCCUAAUCAAAGUUUACUUAAAAUAAGAUUUACUUAGUCUAACAUCAUAUUAAAAUUUUUAAAGAUGUAUUUAAUUGCUUUUACAAAAUCAUAAUGAAAAAUAUCACGUACUUGAAUUUAGAUUCGAAUAUAAACAAAAUAGUUGUUAAACAUCAGCAUCUGCAUAUAAAAAUAAAAAUGUUAAAUCAAAUAAAGUUAUUUAAAAAAACAAAGAGUGUAAUAAGUAAAUUUAUAAAUAAAACUAAUAACCAGUAAUCAAUAACAAAAAGAUAGACAGGGGGCGGGGGGGGAGGGGGAAGAGAAGGAAGCUUAACACUAUAUAUCAAUAUAGGAGUAAAUAUAUAUAUUAUGUUAAAGUGUGAAGACUCUUACAAAAGUGCUUUGAACUUUUUGUCUUUCAUUAAAAAACUCUUCUUUAGACAAACUGUCUUUUCACUAUUUUCUUUAAUUUAUUAUUUUAUUAUUUUUAUUAUAUCAACUAGACUCCUAAAAUAUAUGGGAUUUCUAAAAUAUAUGGAAGGAGAAUCAAUUAAUAUUUUUCCUUGUAAUGAUCAAUUAGAAAAAUACUCCUAAAAUAGGACUCUAUUAAAAAAAUAUUUCUAUAAAUAUUGAGAUGCACGUUAAACUACCGAAGAAAUCAAUUUACUUAUUGGAAAAAUAUGAUUGAUGUUCAUCUAACUUAAUUCGGUUUUAUGUCUAGAUUGAUGGAUGCUUAAUUUUUUAACCCUCAACUUUUAUGUCGGUCAGCUUUGAGAAAUUUUUGUAGGUAAAGUUUAGGUUUAAUUGUAUUAUUUUAAUAUCUCUAUUUUAAAAAAAAAAAAAUUGGUGUACAGGUUAAGUUUAGUUGUAUUAUUUUGAUAUUUCUAUUAUCGUAUUAUUUUGUUAUAGUUUACAAAUAGUAGAUGAGUGUCAAACGACUUUGAGAAAAUUUUUGUGUAAAGGUUAGAUUUAAUUAUAUUGUUUUGAUGUCUCUGUCAUCAUAUUGUUUUGUUGCAUUUUACAUGUGGUAGAUGAAUGUCGAUCGAUUUUGAAAAUUUUUUUUGGUAAAAGUUUGGUUUAAUUAAAUAAAUUCUCUAAAAGAUUUUGAAUUUAAUUAUUGUAUUUAUCUUUGUUGUUUAGAUAAAUAUCCUAUUUAGUGUAAUGUUUGAACUCAAUAAAGUGAGGUACAUGCGCGAGGCACGUACACCUAUGUAUNNNNNNNNNNNNNNNNNNNNNNNNNNNNNNNNNNNNNNNNNNNNNNNNNNNNNNNNNNNNNNNNNNNNNNNNNNNNNNNNNNNNNNNNNNNNNNNNNNNNNNNNNNNNNNNNNNNNNNNNNNNNNNNNNNNNNNNNNNNNNNNNNNNNNNNNNNNNNNNNNNNNNNNNNNNNNNNNNNNNNNNNNNNNNGAGAGAGAGAGAAAGAGAGAGAGAGAGAGAGAGAGAGAGUAACAAAAUAAAAGUUUGCAAUAAAUAAAUAUUUACAUCUAAAAGAUAAGAGUUAACAACCUACUUUCAAGUUUCAAUACGUCUACUCAGCUAGAAGAAUUAAAGGAAAAAAAAAGAAGAGAAAAUAUGAAAUAGUAGCAAGAACAUAUUUGUGUGAAAUAAUGGAUGUUGAUGGCUUUAUAUAGAUUACAUUUUGAAUUUGAAAUUUCAAAAUUGAAAUAGUCAACUUAUUGGUAAACAUAAAUUCAAAAUCAAAAUGAAACUACCAUUAUCUUAUUAGAUGGAACAUGAAUGACCUAUAGCUACUACCAAUAGGUUUCACUGCAUUUAUCUUUCUAUUUUUUGGAUUAAAAAUCAUCCCUUUUUUCAAUGAAAGAAGUAAAAAUCAAAUUUAAAAUGUGCAUUUGCAUAAUUAUAGAUUUAUUAUUAUUAUUAUUAUUAUUAUUAUUAUUAUUAUUAUGAUGAAAAAUAUGAUGAUGAUGAUGAUGAUUAUGAUUAUUGUACUACUACUAACAACAGUAAAGCGUGUGCAAUAUUAUUAUUACUUCUAUUAUUAUUUACGUAUAAAUUAUAAUUAUUGUGAUUAUGAUAUAGUUAGAGUUUAUUUAGGACUCUUUAAUUAUGAUUCUUAGUUUUAAUUUAAUAAAAAUCAUAAAAAAAAUUAAUGAAAAUCCUUUUUGUUUUCUUCUAAAAACCUAAUAUACAAAAAUUUUAAUAUUUUUAAUUUUUAAUUCAAAUAUUUUAUUACAAUAUUUUAAACCUUCUAAUUUCCAUUUUCUCUUUUUUUUAGAAAAAGACAAAUCACACUUUUUAUAAUAAUAAUAAUAAUUACAAUUAUUACUGGUAUUAUUAUUAUUAUUAUAAUACUACAUAUGUACUACUACUAUUAUUUCUUUAUUUAUUUAUUGUUAUUAUUAUUAUUUUACUAUUGCUGCUGCAUUUUGUUAGUCUAAAAGUGUUACUACUACGUGUGUGUUACUUCUACGACUACUAUUAUUUGUUGUUGUUGUUGUUGUUGUUGUUGUUGUUGUUGUUGUUGUUGUUGUUGUUGUUGUUGUUGUUGUUGUUGUUGUUGUUGUUGUUGUUGUUGUUGUUGUUGUUGUUGUUGUUGUUGUUGUUGUUGUUGUUGUUNNNNNNNNNNNNNNNNNNNNNNNNNNNNNNNNNNNNNNNNNNNNNNNNNNNNNNNNNNNNNNNNNNNNNNNNNNNNNNNNNNNNNNNNNNNNNNNNNNNNNNNNNNNNNNNNNNNNNNNNNNNNNNNNNNNNNNNNNNNNNNNNNNNNNNNNNNNNNNNNNNNNNNNNNNNNNNNNNNNNNNNNNNNNNNNNNNNNNNNNNNNNNNNNNNNNNNNNNNNNNNNNNNNNNNNNNNNNNNNNNNNNNNNNNNNNNNNNNNNNNNNNNNNNNNNNNNNNNNNNNNNNNNNNNNNNNNNNNNNNNNNNNNNNNNNNNNNNNNNNNNNNNNNNNNNNNNNNNNNNNNNNNNNNNNNNNNNNNNNNNNNNNNNNNNNNNNNNNNNNNNNNNNNNNNNNNNNNNNNNNNNNNNNNNNNNNNNNNNNNNNNNNNNNNNNNNNNNNNNNNNNNNNNNNNNNNNNNNNNNNNNNNNNNNNNNNNNNNNNNNNNNNNNNNNNNNNNNNNNNNNNNNNNNNNNNNNNNNNNNNNNNNNNNNNNNNNNNNNNNNNNNNNNNNNNNNNNNNNNNNNNNNNNNNNNNNNNNNNNNNNNNNNNNNNNNNNNNNNNNNNNNNNNNNNNNNNNNNNNNNNNNNNNNNNNNNNNNNNNNNNNNNNNNGUUUUGAAUUGAAAGAUUAAAUAUUUGAAUUUGAAAUACAUUAUCCUUUUAAUAAAAAGAUUUUCAUUAUCUUAAAAAUAGAAACUCAUAAUUGAAGAGUUCUAAUAGGUAUUUGCUAUUUCAAACUUUUCUCUUUAAAAUUUAAAUAUUAUAAAAUAUAUUUAAAUAUGAUUUAUUUACAUAUUAAUGAAAGAUGGAAAUUUUAUUAAAAUUAUUAUAAAAGUCUUAUUACAACACUAUUAAAUAUUAUUAUUAAUAUUUUAAGAAAUUUUCAUCCUUCAUUAAUAUGUAAUAAAUUAUAUUUAAAUAUAUUUUAUAGCAUUUAAAUUUUAAAAAGUUAAGUUUGAAAUAACAAAUAUCUACUAGAAAUCUUCAAUUAUGGGUUUCCAUUUUUAAGAUAAUGAAAAUCUUUUUUUUUGGCGAGGAAGGUGCAAUUAGAUUAAAGAAAGAAAAGUAGUGACAUAUAGUUACAGAACCAGGAAGUUCAACCUAGCUUAAUAGCAAAAGAGAAGCAUUUUUGCUCGGCAAGAGUUUGAGCAUCAAUUCUAACAGAUCUUUUAAAAAAGGUUUCUAUCAUGUCUGCCCACAGCUCUUGUCGGGCAUACAUUGGAAGAACUAGCAAAAUACGAGCUUCAUCUACAUAAUCUGAUAUUGCUCCUUGUUUAGCUAGCUUGUCUGCAACUUGAUUUUGUUCCCUGCAGCAGUGAUGGAUUAUUGGUAGACCAGCCUUCAUUAACCUGGACCUGUAAAGAUCAAUAAUACCAUCAUAAUGCUUGUUUCUAUGCUUAAGCAUGUUUAUAAUUUAUAUUGAAUCAGUAUUAAUCUCAACAUGCAUUAGAUUAUAUUGAAUGACUAGAGUGAGGCCUUCUUUGAGAGCUAAGAGUUCCAUUUAGUUAUCAGUGGCAUUGAUGAAGCUUUAGGUAAAGCCCAUGACCCACUCCCCGUUAUGAUUCCUAAUGACACCUCCUAUGCCCCCUUUCCCUGGGUUCCCAGGCAUGAACCAUCAAUAUUUAGCUUGUAUUGGUCCCUUUUAAGGGGUGUCCACUUGAUCAAGAUAGUGGUAAAAUGAUCAUGUUUUUGGCCUUUAUUUUGGUGGAGAUUGUAUUCGAUAGCCUCAGCAUAAGUUUACACAAAAGAAGGCUUAUUUGAGACAUGGUUAAAGAGGUUGUAGUUCCUGGAUUUCCAAAUUGCCCAAAGGCAUUAAGAAAUGAUCUCAUGUUAGAGGAGGAGGUGAUCAAAAGCCUUAUGCUUUGUAAUUUUCCAGGCGUUUGGCCAGUUUGAGACCAUAAAGCUGGAAAGAGUAAUGGGGGUGGGGUACUUGGCUGAAGAAAUCAAUUUCAUCCAUAGAUUAAUAUCAUGAGAGCACUCAAUGAAGAGGUGGUUAGUGCUCUCAAUGAUAUUAGGACAGGAGAAGCAAUGGGGGUAACCUCUACCCCCUUAUUGCCAGGUUGAGGCUAGAGGGGAGUCUAUUAUGGUGUAAGAGCCAGAGGAAGAAUUUAAGCUUAGGGGGGAUAGGCAGUUUCCAGAUCCAAAUAAAAUCUUUACCAUGCUUCACAACAUGGUCUUUGUAGCUGCAGGCUAGGUUUUGGUAAGUUGUGCUAGUAGAGAAUGAGUCUUUUACAUUUAGGGACCACAGAGGUAAGUCCCUAAGGAUCCUCCUGUUAGCAUAGAAAGAGUUCCUAAUAUAAUGUCUGAAAUCAUGAAGGAUGUCAAUGGACAGGGAAUUGAAAUUCCAGUUGCCCUGUUGCCAGACUUGGGACAACUUGGUUUGCUCGAUGGAGAUUUGGAGGGGACUAUGAAUGAUGUUUUUGAGGGGUUUGAAGUUAGAAAGCCACCUGUCCCCCCAGAAAUUUACAUUAUGCCCGUCCUUCACUGCCUAUGUAAAAGCAUUUCUACAGUUGGUCCACCCCUUAUAGAUGUUCCUCCAGGUUCUAGAGGCAGUGGGCUGGUAAACCAUGCCAUCUUUGUUAUAUUUCUUUUUCAAAACUCAAACCCAAAGGUUUAUGGAUUGGUACAUAACUCUCCAGGCCAGGCUCAUCAGGAUAGACUCAUUUUUUAUAGCAGCUUUCUAAAUCCCCAACCCCCCUUCUCUUUUAGGAAAAAUGACAGUAUUCCAAGAGAUUAUAUAUAUUACUUUCUUAUCAUUGGUGGUUCCCCAAAUGAAGUUUCUCUGGAUUCUUUCAAUGACCUUUAGAAUGUAUUUGGGAAUGAAGAUGUAUUAUAUGAUGUGGAUAGGGUUGCUGCUAAGAGAUGUUUUGGAAAGAGUAGUUCUCCCAGCCAUACUGAGAAACUUAGUUUUCCACCCCACCCUCCUCAGUUUAGAAUUUAGGGAGUCAAGAAUGAAAUAAAAGUCCUUAUUCCUGGGCUUCUUAUAAGAAAUGAAAAAGCCUAGAUAUUUACCAAAGUUAGCUUUAUCCUUGAUUUGCAGAAUAUUGGAGAGCUGGAGUCUCUUAUUUUUGGGAUAAUUAAGGUAAAAAGUAACUUUGGAUUUGGAGUUGUUAACUCUUUGUCCAGAGUUGUGGGAGAAGCUGUUAAGGGUAUUGAUGAUGGUCUGACAAUUCUUUUUAUCAGCUUUAGCUAUGAGGAUGAAGUCAUCUGCAAAGAAGAGGUAGGAUAUUUUAGGGCCUCUUUUGCUGAUGGAGAUGGGGUCUCAGUGCAGAAAAUCUACCUUAUGGUCAAUCUUCCUAGACAUAAGCUCCAUACAAGUGAUGAAGAUGUAGGAUGAAAAAGGAUCAAAAUGCUGAAUUCCCCUAAUGGGCUUGGAGAAAUGAGUUUUACCCCUAUUAAUGAGGAUAGAGAUAGAGGAGGUGGAGAUACAAGACAUGAUUAUUUUGACAAGGUUGGGGGGGAAAUUGAAGAAGUGAAGGGCUUUUCUGACAAAGGACCAUUCAAUUCUAUCAAAAGUCUUUUCAAGAUCAAUCUUGAGAAUCAUGCUAGCUUUUUCCCCUUCAUUUUUGAGAAAUGAGUGAUGUACUCUUGAAUAAUAAUGGCAUUAUCUAAGGCUCUUCUAUUAGUGAGGAAGCUUGAUUGGGAAGGGCUUAUAAUGUUAUCUAGAUGAUGUUUCAUUCUAUUGGCAAUAAUUUUGGUUAUUAUUUUGUAUUGUGUGUUGCAUAGGCUAAUUGGUUUGAAAUUCCUGAGGUUAGUGGCAUUGUUACAUUUGGGAAUCAGACAAAGGUAAGUUGUGUUAACUUUUUCAUCCAUAGUACAAGUGGUGGAGGUAUCUUCACAAAAAUUUACUACAGAGUUUCCUAGGAUGUCCCAGUACUUUUGGUAGAAGAGGGGGUGUAUGCCAUCAGUCUUAAGAGCCUUAGUGGGCUUGAAAGAGAACACUUCUCUCUUGAUCUCAUCAUGGUUUGGUAUAGUUUCCAGGCCUUGGUGAUCCAUAGGGUUGAUAAAAUUCUUGGAGGAAGGAUUUAUUUGGCAUCUAUGAGUGGAGAAGGCGUGUUCUGUGGAGAACAGGCCUUGAUAGAAUUACAGAAUACAGGUAGUGAUGUCCUUUUGGGUAUAGACCCAGUUACCCAGGUUAUCUUUCAGAGAAUUAAUUCUAUUUAUCCUUCUCCUAAUGAUGGUAGAGGUGUGAAAGAAUUCAGUGUUGUUGUCUCCCUCAAUAAGCCAACUUAUUCUAGAUUUGAGCUUUCAGAAAUCUUAUUUUUGCCUAAGGAUAUCACUAUAUUCUAUAGAGAGUUUAAUUUCAAUAUUGUGAAGGAAAGAACUAAAGGGAUAGUCAUCAGUCUUCUGGAUGCUUUCCAAUCUAGCUAAGAGGAUCAUUUUUCUAUGGAAGAGAUUCAAAAAACCUCCUGUUCCAUGAUAUAAUGAUGAUUUCCAAGUUUGAAAUGGCUCGAGUAAGAUCAGUAUUACCAUUGAAGCAUCUAUUAACCAUCCCAUCGAAGGUGGGGUGGAAGCACCAGAUUAUUUUUAUCCUAAAGGGUUUACUGGAGAUCAGGUGAUGCCUAGUGAGACAAAUCGACAUGGGAGAGUGAUUAGAGUGAGUCCUGGAGAGGUGUGUAAUAGAGGAUUCAGGAAAGAGAUUAAUCCAGUUGUCAUUAGAAAGACAUUUGUCUAAUCUCUCCAAAAUAAGGUUUUCUUAUUCCUAUACCUUUUGUUUGACCAAGUGAACUUACUGCCCUUAAAUCCCAAGUCUAUGAGUCUACAAUAGUUUAUACAAUCCAAAAAAAGUCUUGCUCUACAGUGGUUAAUACCAUUCCCUCCAAACUUCUCAGAGAAUUUAAGGAUUUUAUUAAAGUCACCUCCCACCAGCCAAGCAUUAUUAGGCAAGUCCCUUAUGGUAUCAUCCAUAGUUCUAAGUUGGUCCCAUAAUAUUUUCCUUUCUAUAUGACAAUUGCUAGCAUAAAUGGCACUGAAAAAUCAAGAGAAAGGAGUGUUACUAACCUGAACAUUGACAUGAUGCCCUGAGGAGAGAUGUUGAUAUCAGUGAUGUUGAUGUUAUCAUAAUUCCACAUAAUAACUAGACCCCCAGAGCUCCUAACAGUAGUGUAUUAGAUUUUUUUAUUAUUUCCUAGGAGGUCAGCCAGUUGGUUAUGGUCUCCUAUCCUAUUCUCCGGGAGAGCUAGGAUUGAAGGUUCGUGAAGGUAAACCAUAUCUUUACAGUGUUUUUUGAAAUUAACACUGUUAGUUCCCCUAGUAUUCCAUAUUAUGUAAUUCAUCAUUGAUGAGUGGGGUAUUGUGGGAUCCAACAUUAUUUCCUUGCCCUUUCUUUAGAGGUUCACUGCAUUCUCCUCCUCCGGGUAUUUUCUCUUCCUUGAUAGGGGAGACAUCUUGGUUUUGUAGAAGUUCUCUUCUUUAUGGAUGGUGGGACUAUUUCCAAUUUGAAGGUUCCUAGAUCCUGAGGGAUAAGGAUUAUAUUCAUUUCGCUCACUAGAUUCUCAAAGAGAAAGUGUACUGUCCUUUCUAGUGUUUCUACUUCUAUUUUUGGCACCUUCAUUGAAGCUAGGAUUUUAUCCGUUUUUGAGUUGUUCUCUCUUAAGGCCUCUAGAGUCAUCUUUCUUUCCAGCAUUUUAUGUGGUGGGAUGGUCAAAGAUAGGGGAGUCUGUAGUAGUCCCCCCUGGGUUUGGGGGGGGCCAAAGGUUUGUACAAAAAGAGGGCCCUCCUCCAGCAUCAUUGGUAUUUUUGGUGAAAAGAAGGGAAGAGAUUGACUUUCCAGGGUCAUCUCUGCAUUCAGCAUCUCUGGAGAUAGGGGACCCAUUUGACCUUGGUUGUUGAGUCUCAUAAGGGCUGUCAACCAAAUAUUCUGCCCGAAAUUGUUGAGUCCCUUGUUCAAUCCCUCUAUUAUUACCUGAGCUAGAUAUAGGGGGUUUUGAAUAAGUAUUCUGAUUGUCCUUCCCUCCCAGUCCAGGCUUAGCAUCAGUAGUUGAUCUGGGAGACCUAUCUCUAUCCAUGAGGUUGGCUGGUGGUCCACUGGUAGAGGAAUUAAUGUGAAGAUGGCUUGAGGGGUCUUAGAGAUGGGGGUAGUCCCAUUUUUUUAGUUAGGGGGUUUGAGUUAGAUUGGGAUUCAGAAAUGGGAGUGUGAGUCUUGGUUAAGGGCUAGAGAUAAUAGUGGAGAGGUCAUCAGAGCUAAUUUUACUUGACUCAGUCAUGUCAGAUUCAGUGAUGAGACUUGUUGAAGCAGUGGGGGGUUCCAUAAUUCGAGGAGUAGUUUCCGUCAAAGGCUUUGACAAGACAGUUAUUUCGUUUUGUAUAUUCAUUCCCGAAGUGGAAAUAUAAAUAUCAUGCCCUUUACCCAAUGUAUUCUUGGGCCCGCUGGACUCCUUGUUGGACUUUAUGGAAAAGUCACAUUUGAGGAAGCCCAAAUCUCUUUUAUUGAGAUUUAAAUUCUCCUUAUUGGGCUUGGUGAUUACAGGUCCAUUGGAGCUGGUUUUACUUGGCCCAUUAACUAUAUCCCUGGGCUUAUUGAAGGUUGGGCCCCAGGUUCGGGUGAGUCCCUUAGUGCUGCCUUGGGGUAGGGUUCCGUCAUUAAUACCUUUCCCCUUCCCGGCGGUGUCACGGGAUAGUUUAGAGAAGUUACCAGGAUCGAUCCCGCUUGUGGUUGCAUGCGUUGCUUCACUGGUUAGAGUUUUUUUUUCCUUGAUUUUUUGAAAGUGACCGUUGUCUAGUGAUUUGUUGAUUCUUGGAUUGGAUCCUCAGCCUAGGGAUUAUCCAUGUCUUGUUGUGCUGUGGUUGAAAUUGCUUGUGUGCAAUUCACUUUUUUAUGGCCUAGUUUCCCACAUAAGUUACAUAAGAACCCAUCUCACUCAUAGUGCAGCAUUUUAUGGUGGUUUCUGAUGAUGACUAAUUUUUUAACUUGGGUGUCCAUUGGGAUCUGGAUGCAAAUUUGAGCGUAGCGACCACGGAGUAUCGCAGAAGUGAAAGCGUCGAUUUUACUAAUUACCCAAUUUUUCUUCCCACCCUCUCUAGUAUGUUCCUGUUGUAGAAUUCCGUUGGUAGCUCCAGCAACCUGGCCCAGAUCACAGUAGUUGGGAUCUUUGAUUCACUGGAUACUAACUUUGGAACCCAGUUGCGGAUAGAUAGGUAGGCUCCAGCCACAAACCAUGCGCCUUGGUGGAGCAUCUUUUUUUGUAGUUCCUCUCGAUUAAAUUUUGCUGUGAAGAAAUGUGGCCAAGAUCUAUUAGGGGAAAAACCUCUUGGAUCUUCCAUAGUUCAGCGAGCUUGGUCCUUAGGUAGUGGUGGUUAAACCUUUUGCCUACCGCUUUUAUGAUAACGGAGAAUCUCCAUGGACCAUAAAUUCUCUUUUUAUCCUCCUCCAUUAAGUGGAUAGCAUUGUGUGUUGUUGGCUGUUCCUUUGCAGCCAUAUCUUCUGGAUGGUAGGAGAGGUAAUUUGUAUCCUCUUGAAUAUUGUUCUUGACGAUUUCAUUGUAAGUGACCCUUUUGGUUCAUCGAUUGCCAUUUGGAUUACACCUUUAUCGAGGGGUUCCAGUGAGGCAAUGUUCUCAUUGGUUGGCUUAGUCGUCUGAAGAAGAUAGUUAGCAAUCUCUCUUGUAAAAAGGUUAGGAUCACCUUUAGUUAAACUUAUAGUUUCUCAAUUGAAAAUCCUUUUAUUAAAAGGAUAAUGUAUUUCAGAUUCAAAUACUUAAUCUUUAAAUUCAAAACUUGAUAAGAGUCCAAUUAGAACUCUCUAAUGUGAUAACCAACUAUUUCUACUAUGUUAUUUUAUUUUAGAGAAAAGACAUCUUUUCCCCCCCUGAACUUUUCCUCCAAACUCACUUUAGCACUUAAACUUAACUUCCAUUUAUUUACCUCCCUUAACAACUUUCAAGUGAAUUAAAUUCACCCCUAUAGCUAUCCCCACCCCCACCCCACCCCCAACACUUCAUUUAUUCAUCUUUUUCAUAUCUCUAUUCUGUUUCUUUGUAAUCCCCUUCCUAUCAAGUCCUAUUUGAUUUAAAAUUUCAUUUUUUGACAAUCAAAAAGGCUUCAAGAUUGAUGAACAAGUUUGGUUCUUGGCCAAGAAUUUCAUGUCUUGCGAAUAUCAUCUAUGUUAUUUCUGAAUUUGAGACUGUUUAUGCCAUUUCUGUAGACAUUUUGAGUAGAAGACUGAAAUUUGGGAGUUUUGGGAUUUUGGAUUUUGGUUAAUGUGAAUGAAUUUGAAUUUGAGAUUUUGUGUAUUGAUGUGUUUUUGUGAUCAUGUACUUGUAUUUAGUCCAUUGUUGAAUUUGCUCAAGUUAAUUCAAAUUAAUUUUUCAUUUGAUAAAGAAAAAAAUUCUUGAAAAGCUUGCAACAUUGUUCACCGGAACAGUGAAUUCCGGUGAUGGACGGAGUAUUUUGAAUGUUGUUUCUGGUGUUCACGGGUGAAAUCAAGGGAUGUGAGGGUCGAUUUUGCGUCAAUGGACAAAAUAAAGAUUAUUGUUCUUGUUCUUGUUCAUCAAUUUUCUUUACAAAAAUUCAAUCUUUUUAGUGUUUCUUGAAAUGGGUUGUACUUAAAUUUACAUUUUUUAUACAUUUUAAUACAUAUUUUACCUUUUUUCAAGAAUCUUUAUGAAAUUCUUUAGUGUAAUUUUGGUGGUGGCAGCCGUCGUGGUGGUGACGGCGGUGGUGGUUGCCGGAAGUUGCCAGCAAAGGUGCUGAGUUUGGAGAGGAUUGGUGGAAAAGUGGAAGUGGAGGAAGUUAGAGUUAGGUCCAUUCAUGGCCCCUCCUUCAAUUUCUUGUUCAUGGUUUCUCCUCCUAUGUGUAUAUAAUCUGCAGGUUUGAAGAAGAUGAAGGAGGGGAGGGUGUUGUAUUUUUUUAUUUAAAAUACUUUAAAAUAUUUUAUAUAUAUAUAUAUAUAUAAAAUAUUUNNNNNNNNNNNNNNNNNNNNNNNNNNNNNNNNNNNNNNNNNNNNNNNNNNNNNNNNNNNNNNNNNNNNNNNNNNNNNNNNNNNNNNNNNNNNNNNNNNNNNNNNNNNNNNNNNNNNNNNNNNNNNNNNNNNNNNNNNNNNNNNNNNNNNNNNNNNNNNNNNNNNNNNNNNNNNNNNNNNNNNNNNNNNNNNNNNNNNNNNNNNNNNNNNNNNNNNNNNNNNNNNNNNNNNNNNNNNNNNNNNNNNNNNNNNNNNNNNNNNNNNNNNNNNNNNNNNNNNNNNNNNNNNNNNNNNNNNNNNNNNNNNNNNNNNNNNNNNNNNNNNNNNNNNNNNNNNNNNNNNNNNNNNNNNNNNNNNNNNNNNNNNNNNNNNNNNNNNNNNNNNNNNNNNNNNNNNNNNNNNNNNNNNNNNNNNNNNNNNNNNNNNNNNNNNNNNNNNNNNNNNNNNNNNNNNNNNNNNNNNNNNNNNNNNNNNNNNNNNNNNNNNNNNNNNNNNUAAUAAUAAUAUAUUUAUCAUUAUAUUUGAUAUAGAUAAGUUUAUGAAUUAUAAGAGUUCAUUUAGAACUCUUUCAUUGUAGGUUCCUAUUUUUAAACUAAUUAAUAUUUUUUUAAAAUGAUAAUGUAUUUUCAAAUUCAAAUAAUUAUAAAAAUCUUAUUAAAAUACAAUUAAACUUGUCAUAAAAACUGACACGUGGCUUCUUAGCAGAUUGCCACUUGGCUUCUUCUUAUGCUUCGUCCUCUGUUUUAUAUAAUAUACUAGAAUAGGUACCUGCGCGAUGCGCGAAACACUUUUUUUAUAAAAUAUUAAUUAAAUAAUAUUAGCUUAUUCACUUUUGAAUUACAAGGUUAAUCAAUUUUCAUUGCCUUACAUUGACAUGUUUCAAAAUUCUAUCAUUUAAAAAAAUAUUUAGUAUAUUCUUUAAUCAUACUUCGAUCAAUUGACUAAUUUUUAAAAAACAACAAAAAUAAAGUAUAAAUUAAUUAUUAAUUUUGUUAUUGAACCUUUACCUUUGUAAUUUUAAUCAAUUAAGACAUGUAACUAUAUUCCUUACCUUUUAUUUCAAGUUCAAUUUUUUUUAGUCUAUAAAUAAGUUCAACAAUAACUACACAUUUUUUAAAAAAAAAAUUAUCUUUAAAUUCUAUUUGAAACACUGAAAGUACUUAAUUAUAUCAAUUAUAAAACUUUUAAGGUCAAAAUUUAAAUUUCAUAACUUUCGGAUCAAAAUUAAGCACAUAUAAUUUAUUUUUUUCUUUUAAACUUUCAAACUUUGUUAUAUUGUUCAUAAUUUUUCAUUGUCUGAGCCAUCAUUAAUAUCUUUAAGUAUUUUGUUUAUACUUAUAUCAUAUCUUCUGAAUUAAUUUAAUUAAAAAAUUUCAUGCUACUCUCAAAAUCAUCUUUCUCACACACAUACCCCACCUUUACCCUACCACCCCAUCACCCCACCAAAUUUUAUUUUUGUAAUUUUAAAAUAAAAAAUUCAAAAAUUUCUUACCCCACCCAUCUCCUACCCCUAGCCCCACCCACGCCCAAACAAAAAUAAAUAAAUUUUAGUUUUUUUCUUUUAAAAAAAUACUUUCUUCUUUAUCCUACCCAACAAAAAAUUUAAACUUUUUUCUUACUCCAACCUCACCCCGUACUCUUACCCCCCAAAAAGUUUAAAACUUAUAAUUUUUUUUUCUAUCCCUACCCUCAAAUGCCAUCUACAUUCACUAGCUCGCAUACCCCUACCCACCCACAAUCUCGUAUCCUAACCUUUCUUAUCAUUAUCCAUCACUCUAUCUCUAUUCAUUUUUAUCGUUCCGUAAUAAUAUUUUGAACAUGUCAAAUCCUAUUACCUUAAAAGAUAAAGCUCAACUAUUCAUUUUAUAUUUGCAAGAUAUUUGUAUACAUUUUAAUUAGAAACAUUAAAGUUCUUAGUUACAUCUAUAACACAAACUAACACAAGAUAAAUAUAAUUUUAAUUGUAAACAAAAAUAAUAACAAAAAUUACUUUGAACAUUUGACAUAAAUCUUCAUGAUAUAUCCAACACAUAAUAUCAUGUUUAUCAUUUUUUGAAUUCACUAAAUUGUAAUAUAUUUCACAUGACAAAUCUUAUUAGGCAAUUUUAAUUGCAACAUUCCACUGAAUAUCUUACCUUCAUGGAUAUUUUAAAAUUAAUAUUCAUACCGUCAUUUAAGAUUUCUAAAUUAUGUAGUUUGACCAAUUGAACAUGUUGUUUUGCUAGAAAAAACAAUCAAAUUCAUAUAAUUUCUUAUAAAUCUAAAUUUAUUUAUUUACAGUCAAUAUAUAUUUUUUAAAAAAUUAUUAAAAAGAAAAUUCAAGUAAAGUAAAAUGGACCUAUUUAUUGAUAUAUGAGUUUUCUUCUAAAAACAGUAAUACAUUCAAUAUAUGAAUAAACUGAUAUCAGUUAUAAGAAAUAAAAACUUUGUCUAUCGCAAAAAUAGUUCACAUCUGCUCUAUGCACUUUUGAGUUUUGAUCCUAUCUUGUACUUGUUUUAUAUUCAAAGUUAUUUGAGAUACAUUGGGAUAAAAAAUAUAUACAAAGAUUAAGAUUAAAUAUUUUAUAAUAAGAUUUUAAAAAUACUAUCACAAAGUAUAAACUCAAGAAAUUGUUAUGAACUUUAAUAAAAAUAUAAGCAACCGAACAUGAUGAUGAUGGAGAUACAUGCUGGAUUAUGAUGAACAAAAGAAUAGCAACAAUAAUUUAUUUGUUGAAAUAAAAUCCUCAUAAAGGAAAUAACCUGAAUAUUAAGAUGAAGAUGAAAAGUCAUGCAUUUGCAUAUAUAAAAUGAAAAAGUUAAAUUAUUAUUUAUUUAUUUAUUUUAGAAAAUGAUGAAUAUGAAAAAUUCAGGAAUAAAGUUAAUGAUUAACAACAACAAUAAAGAGAAAGAAAGUUUAACAUUAUAUGAAUGUAACUUGUAAUAGGAGUAGUAUAUAUCAGAAAGGUUUAAAAGUUGGAGUGGCGAAAACCACCACCCCAACUAUAGAAGGUUUCCCAAAAUAGAUCUAUAACCAUUAAAUUCUCCACUUUAUCCUAAUAGGGUAACCCAACACAACAGUCAUAAGAUUAUCAUUAGACAGGGUAGACACAUAAGUCUAGGUGAGUAAACACUAGUCAUUUUAUGAUCAACAAGAAUAGGAAAAUAUUUAUAAGGAAGACUUACUAGCACAAUUUAUUAGGCUCAAUUAUCACAUUUAGGCAAUAAUUUGUGAUAAAGUAGUGAGAGUGUACAAGUAUGUGCAUGUCAUGCUACCACUAGGUACGACAUUAUAUUCUCAUUAAUCAAGCCAUACCCACACCCUAUAUCUCAUGUAUACCUCAACUCCAAAAUCCACUAAGAAGUAGAAUAGUAUGAUGUAACAAAGUGAAAUAAAUGCUCAAUACACAAUAUCCCAAAUAAGGUUCAAUCACAAUAAUUAACUAUAAAAGUAAGCACUCAACGACGAUAUCAAACUAUACCAAGGAAAUGUGAUGCAAUGCAAGUGAUACAAUGCAAUGUGGUGAUGGUGAUGAAUAAUUAAAAUUCAUCGCAUGACUUACUGUAUACACCUAUUGAGCCUCAGCACAUCCAAGAUAGGAUCCAUGGGGGGUUCAAAAUCUGUAUACUCUUAUAAUCUCAAUAUUAUGUCUUAAAUCAAUCUUAUCAGCACAUCCCUCAGUAUAGAUAUUUCAUAAAGUGUCUCAUUUUCUUACAAAAUUAGAAUGUCUCAUGAAUAUGCAUGCAUGAUAUUAGAAUGUAAUGGUCACAACCAAUCAGUAUGAAGAUCAAAAUCCAUUCAAUACAUGUAUAAGUAAGCUUAGAAUCAACUCAAUGUAUCAAUAAUUCAUGAUAGCAGUUUUCACUUAACCUCACCAGAAUUAAUAGUCAUAUAGUCAUCAAUACUGUCUUUUCUAACCCCUCACUCUGGCAUCACUAUAAUGAUAAUGCAAUUAAAUUCUCAGAUAAUACCUACAAUGUCAAGUCAAGCCCCUACUCGGGUGACACAAUAAUAGAUAAGGCAUUUAAUACACAAACAUGACCAAUAACAUUAAGUUAAGCCCACACUUGGACAUCAUAAUAAUAUAUCCUCUCAAAUCAAAAGCUAUAUGCAUAUAAGCCCACACGUGGCACAAGAUCAUAAAUAAUUAUUCAAGUAAUAAUGAAGUUCAAAUAAGGCUCCAAAUGAGCAACACGAAAUAAACAACAAUUCCGAUAACAAUAAAUUGCGGACUACCUAAACCUAGCUUGUUCCAUAAAUUAAACCUCAUCAACUAUUACAAGUCUAUUCAUAUUCUAAGUAUCCUCUAAUCCUCAAUCAUUCCAUCGAAUAAAGAGAAUAACAUAAUCAUCUCCUAAAAAAUAACUAAAACUUCAAUCAUUAUGUCAAAGACACAAAACAUGAUUCAAGUUCUAAAUUAGAUGUCCGCUAUCAACUUUAUUCAAGAUCAAUGAGCUAAUUAUCUACAAUCUACUCUAAAUAUAUUUACAAGUAUCACGACUAAGAUAAGAAACUAAAUAACCACGAUCCAUCAAAAGACUUUGGUACUCGUGGAGAUGAUCAUCAUUUAACCUAAGUAGAAUCCCCAAUUCUAAGUGUUUUACAAAAUAUGAACAAAUAAAUAUACAUAUAAACACUUCAGAGAAUGUCAAGGAACAUCUCAACUUGCCUUUAAAGAAGAUCUGCAAGUCAAAACACAAUCUAAAGCAUCAAUCAAAAGCUCUACUUCUAUGGAUCAACAUCAAGUGUGUACAAUCAAAUCAAACAUGAAAUUUAAGUCAAAAGAAAACCAAUGAUACGCAUAUCAACUAUAUUUGAUUCAUGUUUAAUAAUAGUUUAAAAAUUGAUCCUAAAGAAAAAGGGUAAAGCUAGAAUUUUAUUUUAGAAACACAUUCUCCAUAAUACUAGGAACAUACAACUAAAAACCCAAACAAAAACAAGUUAAAAAUAAGGUCCAAAUAGAAGAAAAACUAUUUUUAAGCUUUACCAGCAAAACCCCUCCAAAAUCAAAUUUAGAAUCAAAGAUUAAAAAAUGAAUUUGUAAUGAAGUUAGUGGAAAAAUUAUAAAUACGAGAUUUAGAAACAUACCCAUGUAAUAAAUCUCAAAAAUUCCUUUGGAAACAUUCAAAUUCGAACUCUCAAGCCCCAGCACCGUUGUCACGACAGGGGGUAGUCUCGGGUAGUGACAGUGAAAAUGUCAAUGAGAAUGAUUUUGUCAUAUACUUUAACUAUUCUCGAAACUCUUGCAUUGUAUAAAUGGUAAAUGGAACGUGAAAUAAUUAUGUUUGGCUUCACAUGACUUUGGAAAGGCCUUGGUGACCAUGAUUAAUUAUAAAUAGUUUUGGUUUAAUUAGAAACAACAACAAACCCAAUGUAUUCCCACAUAGUGAGGUCUGGGGAGGGUAAGAUGUACGCAGUCCAUACCUCUACCUCUAAAAAAGUAGAAAGGUUAUUUCCGAUAGACCCUUGGCUCGAGACACGGAAUACUAAACAAAUUCAUAGUAAAGCAUGGAACAAGAUGGCAUAACAUAAAUACGACACCUACAAGUAAUAGUAAAUAGAGAAAAGUAAAAAUAUUGGUAAUAAAGCAUGAAACAAGGUAUCAUAACAAGAAUAAUACCCCCACCAAGUAAUUCCCUCCACUAGCGACCCAAACUGACCCUAGUCUUCUGCCCUAAUUCGCGUCCUCCAGAUCUUCCUAUCUAGGGUCAUGUCCUCAGUGAGCUGUAACUGCUCCAUGUCCCGCCUAAUCACCUCUCCCCAGUACUUCUUCAGCCUAGCCCUACCCCGCUUAAAACCAUCCAAAGCUAGACUCUCACACCUAGGAACUGGGGCAUCCAUGCCCCUCCUCAUCACGUGUCCGAACCAUCUUAAUCAAACUUUUCGCAUCUUAUUCUCCACUGGAUUCACACCAACCUUCUCCCUGAUAGUCAUAUUCCAAACUCUAUCCCCCCUAGUCAGCCCACACAUCUAACGCAACAUCUGUAUUUCUGCCACCUUUAUUUUUUGAAUGUGGGAGUUCUUAACUGGCCAACACUCCGCUCCAUACAAUAUGGUCGGACGGACUGCCACCCUGUAGAAUUUACCUUUAAGCUUGGGCAGCACCUUCUUAUCAUACAACACCCUCGAAGUGAGCUUUCACUUCAUCCAUCCCGCCCUAAUAAGGUGCGAGACAUUCUCGUCAAUCUCACCAUUACCCUCAAUCAAGGACCCGAGAUACUUGAAACUAUCCCUCUUACAUACCACCUGUGAUUCCAACUUUACUACCACCUCAUUCUCCAGCCUUACGUUAUUAAACUUGCAUUCCAAAUACUCUAUUUUGCUCCUACUCAACCUGAACCCUUUAGACUCAAGAGUUUGUCUCCACGCCUCUAAUUUAUCAUUCACACCCCCCACCGCAUCUCAUCAAUCAAAACUAAAUCAUCUGCAAAAAGCAUACACCAAGGCACCUCUCCUUGAAUACGCCGCGUCAAUACAUCCAUCACCAAAGCAAACAAAAAGGGACUAAGAGUAGAUCCCUAAUGCAAUCCUGUCAAGACAGUGAAAUGCUCUGAGUCUCCUUCUGCCGUCCUCACCUGAGUUUUAGCUCCAUCAUACAUGUCCUUAAUUUCUCUGAUAUAUGUCAUCGGUACUCCACUCACCUCCAAGCUUCUCCAAAGCACCUCCCUGGGGACUUUUUCAUAUGCCUUCUCCAAGUCGAUAAACACCAUGUGCAGGUCCUUCUUCCUUUCCCAAUACUAUUCCACCAACCUCCGUACCAGGUGAAUUGUCUUCAUCGUCAUGCGGCCAGGCAUAAAGCCAAACUGGUUCUCCGAAAUAGACACUAUCCAUCUCAGCCUCACCUCAACUACUCUCUCCCAAAUCUUCAUAGAGUGACUCAAUAACUUAAUAACCCUAUAGUUAUUAUAACUCUGAAUGUCACCCUAGUUCUUAUAAAGAGGGAUCAUAGUACUCCACCUCCAAGCCUCGGGCAUUUUUGCCGUCUUGAAAAUUUUGUUAAACAAUCUAGUCAACCACCUUAAACCAGCCUCGCCAGAAAACUUCCAAAAAUCCGCAUGUAUCUCAUCAGGCCCCGUCGCCCUACUCUUUCACAUCCUGCGAACAGCCUCUCUAACCUUCUCUACCUUAAAACAUCUAUAAUAACUAAAAUCCUGACACUCCUCUAAGUGCUCCAGCUCUCCUAACACAAUAGCUCUAUCCCCUUUGUCAUUCAAGAGCCUAUGAAAAUACAACUGCCAUCUAUUCUUAAUGUGGCCAUCCUCCACCAACACUGUACUGUCCUCCCCCUUAAUGUACUUUACCUGAUCGAGGUCAUGACCCUUUCUUUCCCUCCCUAGCCUUAGCAAGUCUAAACAACUUUUUCCCCUCCUUUCUCCUAUAACCCCGCAUACAAGCUCUCAAAAGUUGUCAUCUUAGCUGCCGUAACUACUAACUUAGCCUCCUUCCUAGAUAACUUGUACUCUUUCCUGUUUACCACUUCUGGUUUAAUUAGAGAUAGUGGGGUCUAAUUUAGUUUAAUAGUUUAUAUGGCAUAUGGUAAUAGACUUGCAAGCUCUAAUUUUAGUAUGACGAUACCAAUGGUUAAUAACUAACUAAAAGACUCCUUGGUAAAUGGUUUGGUUAUGUGUAAAAGGUUUAAUUAGGAUUGAAGAGAGUUGAGUAGCAAAGUUGGGAAAAAUGGAGGUCCUGGAGGGACCGAUAUUAAAAACUCACGUUUCCUGAUGUGAGGGGAUCCUUGGUAGUCGUGUGCAUGAUGUCACACUUUAUAUUUUAGGGAUGUACCAGUCAUCCCAGGGUUCUUUCUUUGGUCAUAUGGCUAACACGCAGUAGGGCUCUUUCAGUAGGGGGAGCUAAACCCAUACAGCCCAUGGGUGGUUUUAGGACGGCCAAGCAACACAACCCAGGUUAAGGUUUUAAGUACUUGCUAAACCUCAUUCCAUGCCCCGACAUGGUAUAUAUAUGAUUCCAAAUGGUUAUUUGUUUUGGUUUGAAUGAUGGCAUUACUUUAUCUUUAUCCUUGAGUUGCAUGCUAGCGUUUACCCCGCUAAUCAUCUUCGAGUGUUGUAUUCUCACACGAUACAGGAACCAGUCGUACUAUCAUUUCUCCUGCUCAGUGCUUAGAUACGGGGAUAGCUUAGAGUCAGAUUAAAGUGGUGAGCUUCCAUACUUUAAGAGACUUCAUUUCAUACUAUGGACUUUUUUAUUAUUAUUAUUUCUUUAGUUAUAGUUAUGGUUUUAUCUAUGGCCUGGGGUAUAUCCCAAUCGGACGUUCUUUGAUUCUGGUCAGAGGCUUUGUUAGACUACUAUGGGCAUGGGCGGUAUCAGUAUUGGUGUCAGUCUUGGUAUUGGUAUUGGCAUCGGUUGGAUAUUUGAUUGUGGUUGUUAGAUUAUGAAUAUAGACUUUAUUUAAUGUCUUUAAAAUAUUAUUGAUUUAUCUUGUUAUAUGUUUAGAAUUCAUUCGAUAUAGGGCUCAGGACAGUAACGGUUGGGUAUUGGGGGUGGUAUCGGGUCUUGGUUGGACUUGAGAUGCCCAACACGACUAGGCCCUGGUUUGGGUCAUGUCAGAUUGGUAUUAUAUCCCUAGGUUCAUGGUCAAUUGGGUGUCCGAUAAAUUUAUGUUGAGUAGAGUUUCUUUUAGAGUUGUCUAGCGUACCACAGUCAUAAAGAAAAGGCUACAAGGUAUUUAGGAAUGUUUCUCUUUCUUGUGUUCUAUUUUUAAGCUGUAGAGUCUAAGGUCUAGAGUUUUUAUCUAAUUUCUAUUUGUUCACCUUUCAGAUCAUGCCUCUUCAAUGAUCUAAAGCUCAAGAAAACUCCUCUAUCCUACUUAGGCACAAUGCUAAUGGGACACACUCUGCUUAUGAGGUCCAGACCCAAUCUAGGGGUCCAGUUCCUGAUUGUUCUCCUGGAGUUCCACUAGUUCCUUCCAGCCCUCCUCGAGUUCCUCAGGCAGAUGUAAUGAAUGUUAAGUUUCAUCAGUUCAUCCAUAUGUUGGCACAGUUGGUAGCUUCUCAGGUUGAGCGUAGUGCUUUUGUUACUUUAUCUUCUGAGGCCACAAGGGUAGGCUAGUUUUUGAGUUUAAAUCCUCCUGUGUUCACAGGUGUUAAGGUUGAGGAGGAUCCUCAAGGUUUUUGAUGAGAUGGAAAAGAUUUUCCGCAUUAUGCAUUCAACAAACAUGGAGGGUGUGGAAUUUUUUACCUACCAACUGAAAGAUGUAGUAUACCAAUAGUAUGACUAAUAGAAACAGUCAAGGGGUGACGAUGCUAAGUCAGCCCUAUGGGAUGAUUUCUCUAGUGCUUUUUUGGACCUUUUCUUUCCUCAGGAGUUGAGGCAGGAAAAGGUGGAAAAGUUUAUUAAUCUAAAGCAGGGAAAGAUAUCAGUCAAGAAGUAUUCCUUAAAGUUUCACCAGUUAUCGUGAUAUGCUCCAGAGUUAGUUUCUAGCAUGAGGGCUAGAAUAAAGAAGUUUAGUUUCUAGCAUGAGGGCUAGAAUAAAGAAGUUUACUUUUGGGUUAUCUCGAGACUUGAUUUUGGAGAGUAAGACUGCCUUAUUGAACAAGGAUAUGGACAUCUCCAGGCUGCUUGUGCACAUGCAGCAGGUCGAGAAAGAGAAGAAGAAGCAGGCCAAAAUUAGGAAGAGGCAGAAUAAGAAGUUUAGAUUUUCUGAUCAGGGUGGUGGCCAACAACAGAGUGGUAGGGAUGGUGGAAAGUGGCCUAAGAAGAGGUGGGUAAUUCUAGGUCUCACUCGAUGGCUAGUGCUCCCUACCCAAGCUAUAUAGUGACAGAUAUUUUCAGAGUGGCAACAACUAUAGGGCACAGAGUGUCUAAUCUUAGGACAGUGGAGCCCAGUCAGCUCUAUUAUCUUCUCUCUAUAGAUUUUAUGAUUAAUUGCAUCGGGGUUACUGUGAUGAAGGAAAACAUAAGGUCUUCAAUUGUGGUCAGCUAGGGCAUAUGGUUAAAAGUUAUCCUAUUGGUAAGGUCACCUCUAGGGUAAACAAGGUUUUUAUUGCCUCUUCUUCGACUCUGAUACCAAAGGAUGCACUAUCUGGCAUGCUCUCUCUACUCGUUAGGAGUCUGAGGCAUCACCUGAUGUCAUUACUAGUAUGUUGAAACUCUUUUCCCAUGAACUUGACCCGGGGUACCCUCUUUCUUAUGUGACCCCAUUUAUGGUUGUGCAUUUUGGUUUUGCUCCCGAGUGUAUUUCGAACCCUUUUUGUAUUUCUACCCUGAUGGGUGACUCUGUGGUGGAUAGAAGAGUUUAUAGGGGUUAUGUGGUGUCCGUGGGUGGUCGGGAGACUUUAGUGGAUCUGUUUAAAUUAUACAUGGUUUAUUUCGAUAUCAUAUUGAGGAUGGAUUGAUUAGACUCGUGCUAUGCUUCUCUAGACUAUCAGACCUGUAAGGUUGUCUUUAAAUUCCCUAAUAAGUCAGUUAUUAAAAUGGAGGGUGGUUCCCUAGCUCCUAAGGAAAGGUUCAUAUUAUAUCUUAGAUUGAUAUUCAGGGGGUGUCUUUAUUAUUUGGUCUGGGAUAAGGAUUUUAACUCGUGGGUCCUUCUUUACAUUUCGUCCUGGUGGUGAUGAAUUUUCUGAGGUUUUUCCUGAUGACCUUCUUGGUGUUUCUCCUGAUAAGGAGAUUGAUUUUGGGAUAGAUCUUGUACCGAACACUCGUCCUAUCUCUAUUCCCCCAUAUAGAAUGGCUUUGACUGAGGUAAAGCAGCUUAAAUAGCAACUAAAGGAUCUUUUAGAAAAGGAUUUCAUCUGUCCUAGUGUGUCUCUAUGGGGUGCAUUAGUCUUAUUCAUACAUAAGAAGGAUGGUUCCCUUCGGAUGUGUGUUGAUUACCGAUAGUUGAAUAAGGUAACGGUAAAGAAUAAGUAUCCUCUUCCAAAGAUAAAUGAUUUGUUUGAUCAGAUUCAGGGUGCUACAUUUUUCUCUAAGACUGAUCUUCGAUCCAGGUAUUAUCAGCUAAAGAUUAGGGAGAUGGAUAUCUCUAAAACUAUUUUUCAUACUCGGUAUGGGCAUUUUGAGUUCCUGGUUAUGUCUUUUGGGUUGACUAAUGCCUUGACAAUAUUUAUCGACUUAAUGAAUAGGGUUAUCCAUCAGUUUCUGGAUUUGUUCGUCAUUGAGUUCAUAGACGGUAUUUUUGUUUAUUCAAAGAGUGAGGUGGAUCAUGCCAAUCACCUCUGUAUUGUAUUAUAGACCCUGAAACAGCAAUAGUUGUACGCCAAAUUUUUUAAAUGAGAGUUCUAAUUAAAUGCUAUCAGUUUUUAGGUCAUGUCAUUUCUAGUAAAGGGAUCAUGGUAGAUCUGCAAAAGAUUGUAGUGGUUAAGAAGUGGCCUAGACCCAUGAAUCCAACCGAUAUUAAGAGUUUUUGGGGUUUAGAUGGAUAUUACAGAAGGUUUGUGGAAAGUUUCUCUUCAAUAGCUGCCCUAUUGACUAAGUUGACUUAAAAGAAGGUGAAGUUCUUGUGGUCUGAUGCUUGUGAGGGUAGUUUUUAGAAGCUGAAGGAUAAGCUGACCUCGGCACUAGUCUUGACUUUGCCUGAAGGUGCUGAUGGUUUUGUUGUCUAUUGUGAUGCAUCCCGUAUGGGGCUUGGGUGCAUUUUGAUGCAGCAUGGCAAGGUGAUAGGUUAUGCUUCUAGGAAAUUGAAGGUGUAUAAGAAGAAUUAUCUGACUCAUGACUUGGAAUUAUUAGUCGUGGUGUUCACGUUGAAAAUCUGGUGUCACUAUUUGUAUGGAGUGCAUGUGGGUAUCUUUUUCUAUCAUAAAAGCAUGCAGUAUGUGCUUACUCAGAAAGAGCUGAACCUCAGGCAAAGGAGAUGGCUUGAGCUGCUCAAGGAUUAUGACAUGAGUCUUCACUACCAGCCAGGUAAAGCUAACAUAGUUGUUAAUGCUUUUAGCAGGUUAUCCAUGGGAAGUCUAGCUCAUGUGGAUGAAGGGAAGUAGGAGUUAGGUGAAAGAUAUUCAUUGUUUGGUUAACCUUGGAGUUCGUCUCUUGGACUCUAAGGAUAGUGGUGUAUUUAUUUAAGAGGUGGCAAAAUCAUCCCUGGGUGCUGAGGUGAAGAAGAAAUAAGUAUUGGAUCUUGUCUUGAUGAGGAUCAAGGGUGAUGUAGGUGGACAGAAGGUGAUGGCCUUUAAGAUUAGUGGUGAUAGUACCUUACGGUACCAAGGGAGGUUAUGUCUUCCCGACAUAGAUGGAUUGGGAGAAAGGAUCUUGAUUGAGGCGCAUAAGUCGCGCUAUGAUAUUCAUCAUGGUUCAACGAAAAUGUAUCAUGACCUUAAGAAAAUAUAUUGGUGGAAUAAUAUGAAGUGGGAUAUGGCUAAAUACAUGGUGUGCCAAUAAGUGAAAGUUGAGCACAUGAGGACCGAAGGAUUAUAGCAAGAAAUUAAGUUGCCUGUUUGGAAAUAAGAGGUGAUCAAUAUGGAUUUUGUCACCGGUCUUCCUCGAUCUCGAAAUCAGUUUAAUUCAGUAUGGGUCAUCGUGGAUAGGAUGACAAAGUCUGCUUACUUCUUGCUAGUGCGGACAAAUUUUUUGGAAGAGGAUUAUGUGAGGUUGUACCUCCAUGAGAUUGUGAAGUUUCCUGGGGUACCUAUUUCUAUUAUCUUAGACUGUGGAAUACAGUUUUUGUCAGACUUUUGGCAGUUGUUUCAUAAGGUUUUGCGGACUAAGGUGAGUCUUAGUACAACUUUCCACCCACAGUCAUAUGGGCAGGCGUAAAGGACUAUUCAGACAUUGAAAGCUAUGCUUCGUUCUUGCAUGAUUAACUAUGGUGGUAGUUUGGUUGAGCAUUUGCCUCUUAUAGAGUUUGCAUAUAACAAUAGCUACCACUCUAGCAUUGAUAUGGCUCCGUUUGAAGCUUUGUAUGGUAGGAGGUAGGGGUGUACAGAUCAAACCAUCAAGUCAAACUGAACCGACGAACCAAACCAAAUCGAGAAAAAAAAUUGACUUAUGGUUUGGUUUGGAGUUAGAAAAAAAACGACCAUUCUUGGUUUGGUUUGGUGUUAACCAAAAAAUAAGUCAAACCGAACACGAAUCAAACCGACAUAAUAUAUAUAUAUAUUAGUUUAACCGCACGUGUCUUGCACGUGUAACCUUUGAUUAUUUAACAUUAGACGAUUUUGUCUAUUGCGAAAGCUUAUAUAGAUAUUUAUAUAUAACUUUAUUAUAAAAAGUUAAAUAGUAAUUUACUCAAAUAGAGUAGAUUAUAAAUUUUUACAAAGAUAUCUAAUUAUAAUAGCAUUUCUUGCUUACAAGUCUUAUGCCAAGAAAAGACUAAAAUUGGAUACAACAGUAAAAUUAAAACCUUAUCAAUUACAUGAACAAAUGAUGAUAAAAUAAAUAUUCCUAGAGAAAAAAAUGUAAUAUUGUCGAAGGUAAAAAUAAUUGAGAGAAUGAUACAUUAAAAAUUUGUGAUGAAGAAUGUUGAAUAACGGCCUUUUAUAUAUAAGCGUUCGGAUCCUCCUCCUUACAUAAACAUCAGUCGAAUUUUCGUGUUCAUAUCUCAAAUCUAUAUAGUAAGAUUUUUUAAGUAGAUAUUUGAAUUAUAUUUAGUCUAAUUCCUACAUCUACAUUUGUAUGUGGCUCCAUAUCAUCAAAUCUUUAAAUUUAGAUUAUGAAGAUCAAAUAUUCACAUGUGAUUACAGGCAACCAAGACAUUCACAUAUAAACUAAAACCAACUCAAUCAAACCCAACCUUCGAUAGAGGAGGGUACUAUGCAUAAUGUGAUAUUGGUGAAAAUGACUAUACUACAAACAACUUUUUUUCUUUGAUUUUGUUUUGUUCUUUGAAAUUCCAUAGCUGCCUUUUUUAUGUUAUUCUCAUAAAAUUAGUAAUACGAUUUUAUUUAACAUAAAUAACAAUUAAUAUGUCUCACUUACAAAUAAUAUGGAUUUCUAUAGUGGUUGAAUUGUACAUAAAAGUUANNNNNNNNNNNNNNNNNNNNNNNNNNNNNNNNNNNNNNNNNNNNNNNNNNNNNNNNNNNNNNNNNNNNNNNNNNNNNNNNNNNNNNNNNNNNNNNNNNNNNNNNNNNNNNNNNNNNNNNNNNNNNNNNNNNNNNNNNNNNNNNNNNNNNNNNNNNNNNNNNNNNNNNNNNNNNNNNNNNNNNNNNNNNNNNNNNNNNNNNNNNNNNNNNNNNNNNNNNNNNNNNNNNNNNNNNNNNNNNNNNNNNNNNNNNNNNNNNNNNNNNNNNNNNNNNNNNNNNNNNNNNNNNNNNNNNNNNGCGGCAACAUACUUAUCCAAUUUUUCGAUCAGAAACUUUCAACUAAAAGAGAAACACAAGAAAUUAUCAAAAGAGAGAAUCAAUGUCAAUUGUUGAUUAUUAUUCUUCAUAUAUAAUCUUUAAAGGUAUGAUUUAAAAGAAAUAAAUAAAGGCAAAAGGGAUGAUGAUAAUGACAGUAAGAAAACACGUGAAUCAAAACUAAAAUAAAAAUCAAAAGUACAAUAUAAGAAUUUGUUUCGUAUAAAUUUUGAUCCAAAAUAUUACUUAAAUAGAAUUAUAAAAAAUAUUUUUUAUACAAGGCAAAAUUCUAUUUUUAGAAGUACUAAAUAUUACCUAGAUUAAAUAAUUAAAAUCACAAAUAUAUGUUAUUAAAUCCUAAAAAUCAUGCGUAGGAACAAUAAAUUAAAUUUAUUCUAUUUAUAAAGUUUUUCUUUUAUAAAUCAUAUAAUUAAAUAUAAAUUUUUCUGUCUCGAUUUUUUUACGUGCACAACGAUUUCUUUCUUUUUUUAACAUUGACUUGUCCUAUAAUUUUAUUCAUAAUAUUCUACUUAUUCUUUUUUAUAAUUUUAAAUUAUGAAGUACUAGAAGUUUUUAGUUUAUCAGGAUUCUUUCUAUAUAUAUCAGGAGUUAUUAAAUUCUUUUCAUAUAUUUUAGUAGUCUUUAAUCUAAUUAACUAAUAAAUUGAGAAAAAUAGUAAAAAAGCAUUUUUAUCUAUUGCAGAGGCUUUUAUUAAGUUAAUUAAUUAAUUAAUUUAAUAAAAAAACCUUCCACUUGUGGUAGGUUUUUUAAUAAAUUAAUUAAUUAAUUUAAUUAAAAAAACUUCCACUUGUGGUCGGUUGUUUAUUAAGUUAAUUAAUUAAUUAAUUUAAUAAAAAACCUUCCACAUGUGGUAGUUUUUUUUUUUCUCUAAAAUUAUUUUUUCUAACUUUAAAUGAUCGAAAACCCAAUAUAAACCUAGAAUCUAAACUUUUCACUCUUCAUCUCACUUUUUAGUUUCAAGAGAGUUUUUCGCUCCUCAUUUUUUCAUAAUUAUGGUUUUUCAUUAGCACAUGAGUGAAAACAUAUUUGAUCUAGUCUUCGAUCACAAUAUAAUUGUAAAAACUAAAUAUUAUUAAAAAAACCCUGAAAAAAAUAAAAAAUUGAAAAACCCAAAAAAAUCGACUAAAACCUAAACCGAAAAAUCAAUUUUAUGUUGGUUUGAUUUGGUUUAUAGUUUUAAUAAACUGACAUGAUUGGUUUGGUUUUUUUUUAAUAAAAACUAAACCAACCCGACCUAUGUACACCCCUAAUAGGAGGUAUAGGUCUCCUAUUGGGUGGUUUGAGGUUGGUGAGGCAGAGAUGUUUGGCCCAGAUUUGGUUCAGCAAGCUAUGGAAAAUGUGAAGGUGAUUCGAGAUAGGCUUAAAGCCGCCCAAAGUCACCAAAAUUCCUCUACAAAUGUGAGGCGUACGAAGUUAGAGUGUGAGUUUAGGGAUAGAAUAUUCUUGAAGGUGUUUCCCAUGAAGGGAGUGACGCAGUUUGGGAAGAAAGGAAAGCUCAAUCCCCAGUAUGUUGGUCCGUACUUGGUUUUGAAAAGGGUUGAUAAUGUUGUGUAUGAGUUGGAGUUUCCUUCUAGUCCAAGCUCCAUUCAUCUGGUGUUCCACGUAUCUAUAUUGAGAAUGUGUGUGGGUGAUCCAUCGUAGAUUGUACCUAUCAAGAAUAUUGGUAUUUUAGGUUUUUUUGUCCAAUGAAAAAGGUCCCGAUUGAAAUCUUAGAUUGGCAGGUUCGUUGGUUGCAAACCAAGGACGUAGCAUUGGUGAAGGUUCUAUGGAGGAACCACAAAGUGGAAGAGGCUACAUGGGAAGUGAAAGAGGACAUGAAGUCCAAGUACUGAGGUAUGUGUCGCUCUUAGCAUCUUUGUUUUCUGUCUUUGUUAAAGGUAAAUGGUGAAUUCCUUGGUAAUUUUUUUUCUAUCUUAAAGGUAAGAGUAGAGACAUUUGGAGGUUAAAUCGUGCCAGUCACUGCCUUGUCCCAUUAUUCGAGGAUGAAUGAUCCAAGUAAACACCUUGGGUUUUGUCCCUUGGAAAUUUCUUAAGUUGUGAACUUACUGUCCUACUAACGACUCACCAUACGAGUCGUAUGGUGUGGGUAUAGGUUGAGGGACCCUAAUCGUUUGGAGUCUAGUAGAUGGUGGUUAAGAUUGUGCUAUGGUUACGAUUGGGGUGGUACGAGUCAUUAAGGGUGGUGAUGGUUCGUUGGGUCGGUACUUAAUCAAAUCAAUAACUUAGUGACUUGACUUGGAUCUAAUACGAGUGACUCACUAAGAGCUGUGAGUAUAGGCUACAGAUGGUAAGGUUGAGUGGUAUAUUGUCCAGUGUCCGACCCCUUUAGUUUCAGUCCUAGGUACGACUGGACCAUGUGAGUCAUACGGUCCGGUAACGAGUGUUAUCAUGGAGUCAUAUGAUAGACAGUGUAUGGGUAUCCAACUCGUUGUCAUGUUGACAAAUCAAAGGUACGAGUCGUAUGUUGUGGUCACGAGUCACGAGGUCAACUCGUAACCACCUGCGGUAUUUUAAUAAUUUUAAGUUGGGGGCAUUCUGUACACUUUUCCUUUUAACUCCCGUUGAGUCCACAAUUUAAAACACCUUUUGGGACUUCAUUAACCAAUUAUUCCCAAUUAAAAACUCUCAAAUUCUCUUUUAAAAUCUCUCUCCAAGUAACAGCUAGGAUUUCUUCAAAAUAAUCAAUUAAGGUUUUCAAGGAUGGUUUCUCUUCAUCUUUCUUGGUGUCUAAGGAAUGUGGCUCUACCCUCAUUGUUAUUUUACUAAAGGCACGUGUUUUAAUGUAUGAUUUUCAUAAUUUUAUUAUGGUUUUGAAAUAAAGGUUGGGGGUUUUGGUUGUUCAUCUAUUGUUUCUCACGGUUUAAUUAUGAUUUUUCUUAUUUUUAAUUAUGGUUUUGCACGUGUGGGUGCAUUGGAAUGGUGAUUUAAUUGAGGGGUCAGGGUUGAGCCCCAAAUUGGAUGAUUUUGGUUUUGAUUAUGGCAUACCCUCAACCUGUUUGUGAAAUUAUCAAUGAGAAUAAUUUUGUCAUAUACUUUAACUAUUCUUGGAGCUCUUGCAUUGCAUCAAUAGUAAAUGGAAAAUGAAAUGGCUUUUGUUAGUUUCACGUGACUUUGGAAAGGCCUUGGUGGCCACGGUUUAGUUAUAAAUGGUUUUGGUUUAAUUGAAAAUGGUGGAGUAUAAUUUGGUUAAAUGGUUUAUAUGACAUAUAGUAAUAGACUUGCAAGUUCAAACUUUGGUAUAGUGAUAUCAAUUAGUAAUGCCUAACUAAAAAACUCCUUGGUAAAUAGUUUAGUUAUGUAUAAAAGUUUUAAUUAGGCUUAAAGGAGGUUGAGUAGUAAAGUCGUGAAAGGUGGAGGUCUCGGGGAGACCAACAUUGAAAACUCACAUUUGCCGAUGUGAGGGUGGCUUUGGUGGCUGUGUGCAUAAUGCCACACUUUAUAUUUUAAGGAUGUACUAGUCAUCCCAGGCUUUUUUCUUCGAUCGUGCGGCAAAUACGCACUGGGCCCUUUCAGCAAGGGAGCUGAACCUAUAUACCUCGUGGGUGGUUUUAGGACGGCCAAGCUACACAACCCAGGUUAAGGUUGUAAGUGCAUGCUAAACCUCGUUCCCUACCCCGAUACGGUAUAUAUGUAUAUUAGGUGAUUGCAUAUGGUUAUUUGUUUUGGUUUGAAUGACGGCAUUACUUUAUCUUUAUCUUUGAGUUACAUGCUAACGUUUACCUCGCUAAAAGUUUUUGGGUGUUGUAUGCCCACGCGAUGGCCAUACUACCAUUCCUCCUACUCAGUGACUUGAAUUUAGGGGCAACUUAGUGUCAGAUUGAAGUGGUGAGCUUUCAUACUUCGGAAGACUCCAUUUCAUGCUAUGGACUUUUUUUUAUUAUUGUUAUUUCUUUGGUUAUGGUUUUGGAUAUGGUCGGGGUCAUGUCCCAACCAGACGUUCUUUGAUUCUGGUCAGAGGCUUUGUCAGACUACUAUGGACAUGGCCGGUGUCGGUAUUGAUGUCAGCCUUGGUAUUAGUAUUGGCACCGGUUGGAUAUUUGAUUGAGGUUGUUGGAUUACGAAUAUAGACUUUAUUUAAUGUCUUUAAACUAUUAUUGAUUCAUCUUGUUAUAUGUUCGAAAUUCAUCCGACAUAGGGCGCAGGGCGGUUACGGUUGGGUAUUGGGGAUGGUCUCCGGUCCUGGUUGGACUUGAGAUCCCGGACACGACUAGGCCCUAGUUUGGGUCAUGUCACAUUCCCUAGAGAAACAGAUGGAAAAUAAGAAAGAAAAAAAAAACAAAGAAAAAACUAAAUUUGGAGAAUUAUGUUGGAGUAAAUUGUAGCGGCCUUUGUGCUGAAUUAAUCUUUGCAAGAGGUAAGACUCAAUCUGAUCUCUCUUGUACAGUUUAAUGUCACGAUUUUGUGAGCCUUGAUUCCAAUGUUAUGAAGUUGUUGGAAUGUGUUUAAUUGGUUAUCAUUCUUUGAAGCUAUAAUAUGAAGUAUGUGGAGAUUUUGGUUACUUUAAAUUCAAAGUAUAAUUGGUAUAACGUAUAAUUAUUUUCCGCAUGCUUAAGAUUCAGUAUUUUAUUUUAUCUUGGAUAUUAUCUUAUUUGUUCAUCAUAUCCGUUAAUGCUGCAAAUUUAAUCAUUGUCGUGUUCAUAGCAUGUCCAGGACCGUAUAUCGUAAUUAAUAAUUUUGAGAAUUUUGAAGCUUGUAGAUAAUCUACAAUUUAAUCAAUCAUAUUAGAUAUUAUUUUGUAUCUUUUCUUAUAUAUUAUAUAGGCAUUUACAUCUAGCAAUCAAGUGUCGAAUUUAUAAAAAAAAUGUGUACGUGAAUUUGUGCUCUUUCCAUAAAAUUAAUUAUUUAUGUAUAUAUUUUCUACAAUUGGUAUAAUAUAUAUAAUAUGUUGUCACACGCAUACUUCAAGAAAGCUAACUCUUGCACUUGAUUAGUUAUUGAGUUAUUUGCUUAUAAAGCUAGGGAUCCAUCAUUUACUAUUUAUUUUCUUUUGAUUUACUAAAGCUCAUAUAAAUAUUCGAAAGACGUUAGGUUUUUACUAAUACAGGUUGUAUUGAAUAAGGCCAAUUAACUGUUUAGAUACAUUAAUAAAUUCUAAUCAAUAUUUUUUAAAAAAAUAAUCAUUACAUUAAGUUAGCAGGUAUUUUUAAUACUAAUGAAUAUACACCGUUAAAAUAUUUUAUACAUAUUUAAAUAUUUAUUCUUCCACAUUGGGUAAAAUUAUUUUUACUAUAAGACUACUUUAUAUUAGACUCAAAAUUAUGAGGCUUGAAACACGCACGAAAUACUUUCCUAAAAAUGAUAUUUGCUCUCUCUCCUCUGUGAGAUUGUUGUGGAAUUUAAUACAAAUAGUUUUAAUGGAUAUGACAAGCUUUGAAUUUCUGCACCAAGCAAAUAGUGAAGAAAUCCUAUUGGAAAACAAGAAAUCAAAAACUUGAUCUUUUUGAAAAGAAAAUAAUUCUUUGGGGAAUGAUGUAAGAAAACUAAUACUGUGAAAAGUUUCUCUAAACUUUCUGUAAAGAUGCAUUGAAAUCUCUAGAGGUAGGCUAUAUAUAGAAGUGGUGAAAAUCAAAUACUAAAAACACACAGCCAUUCAUCUAAUAGACACCUCUUCAUCUAAAAGAUACCUCUUCACAAAAAAGAUGUCUCUUUUCAUGAAAGACACAACAUUUCACUAAAGGCAUCUUUCCAUAAAAAACUUUUAAUUAUUUAUUUUAAACAAAAAAUCCAACAAUCCCCCACUUGUUUAAAUAUAAAUUAGGACACAGAGAUCAAGUCAUGUUCACGCAUAGAGUAAUGUAUUUUUUGAUUUGAACAUCACCUUAAUGCAAUGCCACAAGAUGAAUUCAAAAUUCCACGUAGCAUAAUAGCUUUGAACGUGUUAUUUGUUGUGAUAACAUCAGUGACACUACACACAUAAAUAUUUCAUUCCUGUUUUUCACUCAUAUGCUUAGCACUUUUAUGUCCAUGUGCUAUCCAAGGUUCAUGAACAUUUAUGAAAGCAACUCUAACUCUCAAUCGAAGCAGCACCACUUCUAUGUUCAUAUAGGUGAAGUUCUUCCAAUGUCUUUGUCAUAUUUGAGACACUUGUUCUACGAACUAAACCUCAUUAAGAGUAUAGAAAUCAACCCUAUAAUCUAUGACAACCAGUACUAGUAUAUCUCUUACUUAAGUACUGAAACAUCCACCUAUCAAUAACUUGUUGUUACCUUUUGAACCCGUAACUAUUCAUUUCAUAGUGCUAGGUAGGGUUUCCAUUAUCGGUGAACUUAAUUAAGGAGUUUUUAUAUAAUCAUACUUGAAGAUGAAUUUAAUAAUUUCCUUUUAAUAGGUUUAGUAAGUAUAUUAGUCAAAUUCGUUUGACUCCACCAAUGUGAUAGAAGUCAUUCCAUCUUGAAUAACUUUCUCACAUAAUCAUGUCAAGAACUUAUGCAUUUUGACUUCUCAUUAUAUAAUCUUUAUAUGCUCAAGUUAGAGUGGCUUAAUAUCACAAAUUGAGCUCAUAUUUUGCAAAAUCAAUGGAUCCUCUUAAUAAUUGUUCAACCACUCAACUCUUUUCAUUUUCUUGCUUCUACUAAUGCAAGGUUUUCUUGGUUUCAAGAAAUUAUACCUCCUCGCAAGGUAAGUAUCCACAUGUGGUAAAUUUAUUUUUCUCACAUAUUCGGUACCAACUUGUAUCAAUAUAUUCUUUUAAAAUAGUAUGAAACUUAAAGUUUCUCAAAUCUUUAUUUCUCGAAAGAAAAUCAAAACUCAACUACUGACCCUUUCAAUAACACUUGCUUACACAAGUAAAUUUGCCAUGAUUCUUUCAUCAUUAUGAACUGACUCGAUCUAGGAUCAAAUAGGGUAUUGACCACUUUUCUGUUUAAGUGACUAAAUUUAUUUAGCAUUCUUUUCUCAAUGCAAUGAGAUUAACUCAAUACAUUAGCCCCACUACUUUAUUUAAUCCUGAUACUCAUCGUAGUAUCCAUUUAUCCAAGAUCUUUCGUUUUAAGUGUGAAAAAUAGAAAUCUCUCAUUUCUAUUAUAGUUUUUUUUUCAUUUCAUAGGAUCAACAUAUCGAUAAACUAUCACACAAAAUCAUAAGUCUAAUAUUGACUUCUAAUCAUAUGAUAAAUAUAUCCCCACACUUUAAAUAUAUCAAGUGCCUUUUCAUAUCAUACAUAGAAAAAAUUGAAUUCACUAACUCAUGUUCUCUACAUUUCAUAUUCAUUUAUAACAACGUUUAGGUAGAGACACACACUUGUAAUAUUUCAUUAUUUCAAAAUAUUUUGCAACAGAUGCGAUAGUAGGAGAAUUUUUUUUAUUUUUAUUUUUUUUUACUGGCCUCAUCUCAUGACUUUGACGCUACUUCUGAAUUCAACCAGCAAAAUCUCAAUUUCAAGGCCACAGUCCUUUCCAUUAUAUGGUCAAACAUUAUUAUUUUUCUUUCAAUCUUCCUUCACCAAAGUCAUAAAACAUAUGAACAACUAUAAAUGUAAAUAAGACUAACUCAAGGCCACAAAUUCCAGGCAAUCCCUCUUUUCAAGUGAGGGUAAAUGAAUAGUGAAAAUUCAUCAAAAAAAUUCAAACAUAGAACAACAACAGCACCAGAUUCAAACAAAGAAGCAUUUCACAACUAUGUCAUUAUAAAGCUCUUAGGCUAUGGAAAACCAGCAAAAAAAGAAGGAAGAAAGAGUAUAAUAAAUUAUUUCAUAUCAUCUCAUGAAAUGAAAAUAAAAUUUUACAUAUGAUCUUUAUGCAAGAAUAACGAUCCACAAUGAUCACAUAAAAAAAAUAUUAUUGCAAACUAUCAUGUAUUUAAAGAUCUGACACAAAUAUAUCAUCUACCCUGAUUUUUAUAAAAAUAAAUUCACAUAAUCAUAGAAGAACUAUCAACUCUUAAAUAAAUAAUAUGUAGACUUAAAAAGUAGAACCCGGUUCCUUUUUUUAAUUGAAAAUUAGAGACCUCUUAUGCUUCUUUCACACGUGCAUGUAGGGGUGUACAAACCAAACCGUGAAGUCAAAUCGAACAGAUAAAUCAAAUCAAACCGAGAAAAAAAGCCGAUUUAUGAUUUUGUUUGAUUUGUUUGGCGUUAGAAAAAAAAAACGACCAUUCUUGGUUUGGUUUGGUGUUAACCAAAAUAAAGUCAAACCGAACCCGAAUCAAACCAACAUAGUAUAUAUAUAUAUAUAUAUAAAUAAUAUUAAAAGUUUCUUAUACAUAAAAUAGUAAUUAUAAUCUACUUUUUAAAUACUUUUUCAACUAGUUUAAUAAUUUUCAAUAAUUUGAAAGUAAAUGUAGAUAUAUAUUUAGAUUUGGGUCUUUAAGUUGUAAUAUUUGUCCAUUAACUGCUAAUUAAAUUAUCGAAAAUUCAAUAUAAACUUAAAACCUAAACUUUUCACUCUUCAUCUCACUUUUUAGUUUCAAGAGAGUUUUUCGCUCCUCAUUUUUUUCAUAAUUAUGGUUUUUCAUUAGCACAUGAGUGAAAACAUAUUUGAUCUAGUCUUUGAUCACAAUAUAAUUGUAAAAACUAAAGAUUAUAAAAAAAAUAAAAAAAAUAAAAAACCAAAAAAUUGAAAAAAAUGACUAAAACCUAAACCGAAAAAAUUAAUUUUAUGUUGGUUUGAUUUGGUUUAUAAUUUUAAUAAACCAACAUGAUUGAUUUGUGUUUAUUUUAAUAAAAACCGAACCAACCCGACCUAUGUACACCCCUGCGUAAUAACAAAUUUUAUACCAACUAAUUAAUGGUAUGGUAAUAGAUUAUAUUUUGAGAUCCUCACAUAAUGAAUAUCUAUCCUAUUAUUUAUCAAACUAGCAUAAACUAGAAAAGGUAAGAAUUCAUUAAUAAAUCAUAAAUUAUGAGAGAGAAAUAGAACUUGUUUUGAUGUUGUCAUUUCAAUAUUCUCGAACAGUGACCAAAAUAUAUUGGUUGAGACAACUAUUCACCCUUGAAUUGUAGAAUUAUUCGUCUCUGCACACUAUGUCACUAAGAUAUCUCUCCAAUGUUUUCCAUGUAUUAGCAAUUAAUAUUACUCCACCAAUCCCGGUUAGCCGAUUACCUUGCCCGGUUAGGAGAACAGUUAGAGAUAGGAAAAGAUGCCGACACCGAACAGUUAAAGAAUUCUCCUUCUGUCAUUGUUGUAUGAAUCGUUGUAGGAAGAAGGACAGUUCAAAUCAGAAAGUAUUCGAAUUUUCCACGGCACCCAGUCACUGCUUCUUGCUACCUUUGUAUAUUCAUGAAUUUACUGCAACCUAUACCAUUCCAAUCAUUGUUUGUGAUUUCCCAUUCUCUUGCAUAUGCUACUCUGCUACAGGAGUAGUUUGCAAACAUUUAAGGGUGUUAUCUUGUUUAUUGUUUCUCCUUUAUUGAAACACAAAUCUACUUCUUAAUUUUCACAAAAGGAUAAUCAUGUUGAUCCAUGCCAUCAGGGAAGCAGCAUAGCUAUGAGCUUCCACCGGUUUCAAUUAUGCAGCAUUCUUUUCUUCGUAUAUAACAAAAUAUCAUUUUUAGAUUGUUGAAAAAUAUGUUCCAUGAACACAUAAAAAUAUACGAAGAAGCAUACAAAGAUGAAGGCUUGACAAUAUGAACAUUAAACACAAAAUUAUGAGGCUUGAAACACGCACGAAACACUUUUCUAAAAAUGAUAUUUUCUCUCUCUCCUCUGCUGUUCGCAGGAUGCGAAGGGGUAGGGCGACGGGGCCUGAUGAGAUACCGGUGAAUUUUUGGAAGUUUUCUGGCAAGGCUGGUUUAAGGUGGUUGACUGGAUCAUUUAACGAAAUUUUCAAAAAGGCAAAAAUACCCGAGUCUUGGAGGUGGAGUACUAUAAUACCUCUUUAUAAGAGCAAGGGUGACAUUCAGAGUUGCAAUAACUAUAAGGGUAUUAAGUUAUGGAGUCACUAUAUAAAGAUUUAAGAGAGAGUGGUCGAGGUGAGGCCGAGAUGGAUAGUGUCUGUUUCGGAAAACCAGUUUGGAUUUAUGCCUGGCCGCUCGACGAUGGAGGCAAUUCACCUGGUACGGAGGCUGGUGAAACAGUAUAGGGAAAGGAAGAAGGACCUGCACAUGGUGUUUAUCGACUUGAAGAAGGCAUACGACAAAGUCCCCAGGGAGGUGCUUUGGAGAUGCUUGGAGGUGAGUGUAGUCCCGGUGGCAUAUAUUAGAGCAAUUAAGGACAUGUAUGAUGGAGCUAAAACUCAGGUGAGGACGGUGGGAGGAGACUCAGAGUAUUUCACUGUCUUGACAGGAUUGCAUCAGGGAUCUACUCUUAGUCCCUUUUUGUUUGCUUUGGUGAUAGAUGUGUUGACGUGGUGUAUUCAAAGAGAGGUGCCUUGGUGUAUGCUUUUUACAGAUGAUGUAGUUUUGAUUGAUAAGAUGCGUGGGGAUGUAAAUGAUAAAUUAGAAGUGUGGAGACAAACUCUUGAGUCUAAAGGGUUCAGGUUGAGUAGGAGCAAGACAGAGUAUUUGGAAUGCAAGUUUAAUGACGUGAGGCUGGAGAAUGAGGUGGUAGUAAAGUUGGAAUCACAGGUGCUAUGUAAGAGGGAUAGUUUCAAGUAUCUUGGGUCCAUGAUUUAGGGUAACGGUGAGAUUGAUGAGGAUGUCUCGCACCGUAUUAGGGUGGGAUGGAUGAAGUGGAAGCUCGCUUCGGGGGUGUUGUGUAAUAAGAAGGUGGCGCCCAAUCUUAAAGACAAAUUCUAAAGGGUGGAAGUCCAUCCGGCCAUGUUGUAUGGAGCGGAGUGUUGGCCAGUUAAGAACUCCCACAUUUAAAAAAUAAAGGUGGUGGAAAUGCGGAUGUUGUGUUGGAUGCGUGGGCUGACUAGAGGGAUAGAGUUCGAAAUGAGACUAUCAAGGAGAAGUUUGGUGUGACUUCAGUAGAGAAUAAGAUGCGGAAAGUCCGAUUAAGAUGGUUCGGACACGUAAUGAGGAGGGGCAUGGAUGCCCCAGUUCGUAGGUAUGAGAGUCUAGCUUUAGAUGGUUUUAGGCCGGGUAGGGCUAGGCCGAAGAAGUACUGGAGAGAGGUGAUUAGGUGGGACAUAGAGCAGUUACAGAUCAUUGAGGACAUGGCCCUAGAUAGGAAGAUCUGGAGGACGCGAAUUAGGGCAGAAGGCUAGGGUCAGUUUGGGUCGCUAGUGUAGGGAUACUUAGUGGGAGUAUUAUUCUUGUUAUGUUACCUUGUUUCAUGCUUUAUUACGAAUUUGUUUACUUUUCUCUAUUUUCUAUUACUUGUGGGUGUCGUAUUUAUGUUAUGUCAUCUUGUUCCAUGCAUUACUAUGAAUUUGUUUAGUAUUCCGUGUCUCGAGCCGGGGGUCUAUCAAAAACAACUUUUCUACUUCUUUAGAGGUAAAGGUAUGGACUGCGUACAUCUUACCUUCCCCAGACCUCACUAUGUGGGAAUACACUGGGUUUGUUGUUGUUGUUGUUGCUCUCUCUCUUCUGCAAGAUUAUUGUGAAAUUUAAUGCAAAUAGUUUUAGUGGAUAUGACAAGCCUUUGGAUUUCUGCACCAAGCAAAUAGUGAAGAAAUCCUAUUGAAAAAUAAGAAAUAAAAAACGUGAUCUUUUUGGAAAGAAAAUAACUCUUUGUGGAAUGUUUUAAGAAAAGUAAUACUGUGAAAAGUUUCUCUAAACUUGUUGUAAAGAUGCAUUGAAAUCUCUAGACAUAGGAUAUAUAUAAAAGUGGUGAAAAUCAAAUACUGAAAAGACACAACCAUUCAUCUAAUAGACACCUCUUCAUCUAAAAAUACCUCUUCACUAAAAAGACAUCUUUUUUUGUAAGAGACACAACGUUUCACUAAAGGCAUCUUUCCAUAAAAAAAAUUAAUUUAUUUAUUUUAAAUAAAAAAUCCAACAACUCCUGCGUGCGUGUUUUUAGAAUAUGUAGAGUUCAUUUGUUGCUUCCUAAAAAAUGAACGGCUUUUGAACUUAAUAAGCCUAUAUCGGAUAAAAUAGGCGAUUGCAUUCAUAUAGUAAAAGUUUGAUUGCACUCGGUUUCUAUAUUCUACGUAAACUAGACUUUUAAUUACAGGACAUUUACUACUUCAAAAUUUCUUUUUAAUUAAAAUUUUUGGUCCAGACUUGGACCAUUUUAGUUAUCAUAAAAAAAACCAAAUAGGCCCAAUAUUUACAAUGUUGAUCUAGAUCCACAAAAAGAUCUGAUCCAUAAUAAGGAAUAUGAAACGACUCCAUUUUGAAAAUAUAAACUCUUUCUCCUUUAGACAAGAGUACAUUGUACUCUUUCUGAUCCACAUCAUCUAAAAAAUGUUUCCCCCAACCUGGUGUCGCUGCUUUAUCCUUUUCAUUCUCUGGGUGAUUCAGAAGCUCCAUCCUUGCAAGUUGGUGGUCAUAUAAGCUCUAUAUAUCUUCUUUACCUCAGGUAAAAUAUUUUUCCACCUUGUAAUUUGAAUCUUUUUAGCUUUAUCUAACCUCAAUGUUUGGCCCCACAUGACUGAUGUUUCAUAGUACCGACCUACCGAUUUAUACCACAAAGUAAGGGUCUAUCCUUGUUACUUUUUUGACUUAAUAAAUCAAUACCCAUGUCACUGACUUUUAGUCUUCUUUGUAGAUGUCAAUCUUGGAUCGUCAUGCAGCUGAAAGACUAAGGCAGAUCUGGUGUCAAGCAGUGGAAAGCUCCAAUUACCCCUUUUUACAGUGGAGUUUUUUGAUAGCUAGGGCAUAUAGCUAGGAUUAAUACAUUUCCUUUGUUAUUAUACUGACAAAUUGCUUUUUGAAUAUGCUUGGUAAUGUAUUACACCCCAUGGGACUGUAUAUAUUGGGACCCUCUGUGCCUGUCUUAAUGAUGAAGUUGCUCCUCAGUAGCUCUUAAUCUCAUUGAUGCUUGUUAAUUUUGCGUGUUUUUAUCCUGAGAUUUAGAAUAUGAUAUUUGUCCAUAUUUAUGUGCCUUCUGAUAUUAGCUGGUAGCUCCUUAAACUUCUUGAACUCUUUAGUUAUCUAUAGUUUCACCACCUCAUUAGCUAGUGCAUCCGCCACCAUAUUACCUUCUCUGAAUAUAUGUAUGAUCUUACCUUGUACUUCAUGCAAAUUCUACCAAAUAUCCUUAAUCACCUCAACAAGUCCCCAUGGAAUCUUUCAUUGUUUAUUUAUUAUCUUCACCACAGUCAGAGAAUCUGACUCGAUAAUGAUACCCCUAUAAUUUUUAAAAUUAGAGAAAAUAAUGGCUUCUCUAAUUGCCAUUGCCUCAGCUUCAAUGCUGGUUGUUUCUCCUAGACCUUUAGCCAUAGUAUAGACCACAUCUCCAUUUUCAUUUCUAAUGCAGUAAGCUAAAGCCCCUAGACCAGGGUUACCCCUACAUACUCUAUCUGUAUUGCACUUUAAUUUAUUUCUUCCAGUGAAACUUCACAUCAUACUAUGACAGUGUAAUCUAGGUUUUUAAAACCUUAGGAUAUCAAUAAUAUUGGGCCAAACCUCCUUUCCAACUUUCAUCCAAGGAUAACAAAACUUAAUAAGUUUUCUUAUUAAAUCUUGUACUUGCCACACGACCCCUGUAAAAGUCAUUGUCCUCGCAUGUUUGAUACCAUUCCUUCUUUUCCACAAGCACCACAUAAUGAAGGGUGGAACAACUUUGCAAACAGUAUCUACUUUAGGAGCUACUUUCAUAGUCCACUAUGUUCGAAUAAUCUCCUGCAAAUCCAUAUCUUUAAUUUUAAUACAAAUGACAAAUACAACAUUUUUAUAAGGAUACAAAAACUUAAUAAGUUUCCUUAUUAAAUCUUGUACUUGCCGCACGACCUAUGUAAAAGUCAUUGUCCUCCAAUGUUUGAUAUCAUUUCUUCUUUUCCACAAGCACAACAUAAUGAAGGCUGGAACAGCUCUGCGAACAAUAUCUAAUUUAGGAGCUACUUUCAUAGUCCAUCAUGUUUGGAUAAUCUGUUGUAAAUCCAUAUCUUCAAUAUCAAUACCAAUGACAAAUACAAUUUUUUAUGGUGUUAACAUGCGGCAGUUUUAUCUCUUCUAUUAUAUAUAUAUAGAUUAUUAUUUUUGUAGUUCACAUGUGAUAAUUAUUGAUUUAUUAAUUAUUAUUUUAAUUUUUAAAUUUUUAAUAACAAAUACAACCUUUUGUUAAAACACAUAGAUAGCACAUGGAGACUCCAACUCAAAAUUCUUUCAUGCUCACUUAACACACAGACAAGAAAGGAACAAAAUUGGGUCUAUCUAUAUUGAACAAGGAAUGAGGAUCACAGAGCCACCCCAAAUCCAACAGGAAUUCACUCAGUUUUUUCAGCAGCUUUUGGGAUUUGCAGCAACUGAAUUGUCUUGCCUCAAUAUUGGCAUAGAAAGAUAUGGUCUUUGUCUGAAUAAUGAGCAAAAGAAGCAACUAAUACAAAAAGUGACAAAUCAGGAGGUAUUUCAGAUAGUUCAACACCUUCCCUGUAACAAGGCACCAAGUAUUGAUGGUUUUCCAAUAGAGUUUUUUAAAAGUAAUUGGUAAGUAGUGGGACAAGAGGUCACUAAGGUAAUUUUACAAUUUUUUGAGAAUUGGAGGCUAUUGAAGAGAAUUAAUUGUGCAACCAUCACCCUUGUCCCUAAAGUAGAUAGUCUUAAUUUUGUGAAGGAAUAUAGGUCAAUAGUAUAUUGUACUACUUUAUACAAGAUUAUAGCUAAAAUCCUCACUGUAAAAUUGAAGCCUAUGGUAGAUGUUAUAGUGGGUCACUCACAGUCUGCAUUUUAUUGAGGGAAGAAGUAUUUUAGAUAAUGUAAUAGUGGCUCAUGAACUAAUUAGAGAAUAUGGCCAAAAACAUGUUUCCCCAAGAUGUUUCAUAAAAAUAGAUAUCAGAAAAGCUUAUGACUCAAUUAAGUGGGGAUCCUUGAGGAUGAUACUUAUUGAAUAUGGCUUCCCUGCAAAAAUAAUUUAAUGGAUAAUGACUAGUGUAACUACUGUUAGUUAUGUUGUGCUUGUAAAUGGGAGCUUAACUGAGAAAUUUGUUGCUAAGAAGGGACUUAGACAAGGGGAUCCUAUAUCCCCAUAUCUUUUUGUGUCGGUGAAGGAGUACUUAAAUAGAUCACUGAAGCAGUUGAGGCACAAUACAAACUUCAACUACCACCCAAGAUGUGCCAAAUUACAACUGACUCACAUAUAUUUUACUGAUGACUUAUUGCUAUGUUGCAGAGCAGACCAAUUAUCCACCCAAUUGAUUUUGGAGGCUUUUGAGCAUUUUUCUUCUGUCUCAGGGUUGAACGUUAAUUUAGAGAAAAGCUUAUUUUAUGUAGCAUGGGUAAUCAGUGAGUUCAAACAACAAAUCUUGAAGGAUAUGCAAUUCACUUUGGGGGAAAUACCUUUUAAGUAUUUGGGGGUACCAUUCUCAUCCAGGAAAUUGACUAUUCAACAAUACAUGCCUCUAGUUGAGAAAAUAGUAGCAAGAGUCAAAUGUUGGACUGCUAAACUCUUAUCCUAAAGUGGUAUAUUACAGCUGAUUAAAAGUGUGAUUUUUGAAAUGCAAACAUACGGGGCACAAGUGUUCUUACUACUAAAAAAGGUCAUAUCCAUAGUCACACAUAUUUGCAGGGUGUUUCUCUGGACAGGUGGUGUUGAAAAUUCAAAGAAGUCACUAGUCUCUUGGGAAAUCAUGUGCUUACCAAGAGCUGCUAGAGGGCUGAACGUAAUAGAGUUUGAAAGAUGGAACAAAGUUAUUAUAUGCAAACUGUUAUGGGCAUUAUCAAAUAAGAAAGACACCUUCUGGGUACAGUGGAUUCACAGCUUCUAUAUCAAAGGCAAGGAACUGGAGUCAGUGAGCACACCUAAAUAAGCAUGCUGGCUUAUCAGGAAAAUAUUUGAUGCAAAGCAAGGACUCCCACCUAGCAACCCAUUACAAUAUCUAGCACAGUUCACAGUAGGAUCAAAGUUCAAUAUCAAGAAAUUGUACUGCUUAAUGCUCCCACAACACCCCAAGGUGGUAUGGAGGAACUUGGUGCAAUCACCAGGAACCAUCCCAAGACACCAGUUCAUAAUAUGGUUGGCUUUACAUGGGAGAUUAGCAACAGUUGAAAGACUUGAGAAAUAGGGUAUAAAUGUAAAUGUUGGUUGUGUACUCUGUUGUUCAGGAACUAAAGAAACAUUUCAGCAUUUUUUCUUUGAAUACACAUACACUAAACACAUUUGGAGCACCUUAUUGAAAUGGUUACACAUUCACAGACAAAUCCACCCCUGGACAACUGAAAUCAUAUGGUUGACUACUAGUGUCCACACUUCAAAAGCAAGGUCGCAGGUCCUUAUAUGUUUGUUUUCUGCUCCAGUUUGCCAAAUCUGUUUAGAAAGGAAUGCACGCAAAUUCAAAGCCCAAUGCAAGAACAACACACAACUGAUUAAAGAUAUCUGCCUUUAAGUCCAUAUAAAAGGUCAACAGCAGAGCAAAUGAAAGAUAUACUAGCAAAUUUGAAUAACUAUUUGAUUUAAUGUAGUGCAAAAUUGAAAUUGUAAUAGUUAGUAAGGACAUGAAAAAUUUUACUUUAAAUGUUUCUGGUUGGAAUAAAAAAAAAUUCUUUCGACCAAAAAAAAAACAUAUGGCAAUUUUGCCUCUCCUAUUAUAUAUAAAUAGAUUUCAUUGUUAAAGACAAAUACAACAUUUAUGGUGUUAAAAUAUGACAGUUUUGUCUCUCUUAUUAUAUAUAGACAGAUUUUUCUUACAACUACUACUUAUAUUUUUUUGAUAUCAUUGACAAGAGUAAACACUAAAGUAUAAUCCACCAUAUGCUAAAGCUCUCGCCAUUUGAGAUAGAUAUAUAGAUAGAUUAUUAUUUUUGUAGUUCACAUGUGAUAAUUAUUGAUUUACAAAUUAUUAUUUUAAUUUUUAAAUUUGUAAUGACAAAUACAACUUUUUUAUGGUGUUAACAGGUGGCAGUUUUGCCUCUCCUAUUAUAUUCAUAUCUUCAAUAUCUAUAUCAGUGAAAAAUACAAAUUUUUUAUGGUGUUAACGUGUGACAGUUUUGUCUCUCCUAUUAUAUAUAGAUAAAUUAUUAUUUUUGUGGUUCACAUGUGAUAAUUACUGAUCUACAACUUAUUAUUUUAAUUUUUAAAUUUUUAAUGAUAAAUACAACUUUUUAUGGUGUUAACAUGUGAUAAUUUUGUUUCUCAUAUUAUAUAUAUAGAUUGAUUUUAAAUUUUUAACAGCAAAUACAACUUUUUUAUGGUAUUAACACGUGACAGUUUUGUCUCUCCUACUAUGUUAACACCCAAUUUUGGCUCUCCAUACUUAAAAUUAGCACUUUUAGGCUUUAUAAUAGUUAAAGUACAUAAAAUAUAAUUUUUCACAUAUUAUUUAUGAUUUUUUAGCAAAGUAAUGAUAAACAUCAUUUUUUAGGUUUUUUUAAUUAUUAUCAUAUUUUAAUUUUACAUAAUUUAUUGAUAAUUAUUCUUAAUUUCAUAAAUUUAGAAUUUUUAUUAGUUUAUUAUUAUUUUAAUAUUUUUGUACAGUCAUCUACAUGCGUACAUAGCGUAACACUGUAAUUCUUUUUUACAUAUUAUAAUUUACAUUGUUUAUAGCAUAAUACAUUUCUUUUAAAAGAGAAUUAUAUUUGUUGUUUGCAUUUUUCUAUAAUUAUAUAUCGUUAUUCAUAUUUUUGUAUAUUAUUUAAUACAAUCUGUAAACAUAAGUCGACUUAAUUAUUUUAAUACACAAAAUAAUAAAUUAAUCAAGUCAAAAUCAUGUAAACUUUUUAAAAAUGAUAAUUGAAGUGACUAGUUGAAUCUUUUACUUUUUGGUUAAUAAUAUAUUUUUAAUGAUUAAAAGAGAUAAUUUAUACUUUUUGAUUAAUAAUGAGCACCAUUUUUAUUUAUAAAUAACAAAGGAGGCAAAAAUAACAUACAAAAAUACACACUAAAAAAUUAGAUGAAUGCUCACUUUUCUCUCCCAAAACGCGCACAAAAACAGUACACACACCAACACACAUACGUAUCUCCCUGCCUCUCUCAUCUCCCUCAAAGCCAGUCACUGACUCACUGUCCUCCAUCGCCGGUGGAAACUCACCGGUAAACUCCAGCCGAACACCAUGCACCGCCCCUCACCUCUCUCCGUUGUUACUAUUCGCUAAAAAAAUGAGUCAGAUCUCAUCGGAAAACUUCGACAGCCACAUCCCUUUUCUUCCCCUUUCUCCGUCACACUUCCGUCGCCGGUCUUGACCACUGGACGGACAGAGAGCGGCGACAGAGCUCACCGCUGCAUCAUCACUCUUUCGCUCUUCCUUUCAUUCUUGGUUCGCACUAUUUUAUCCGAUAUGGCCAGAUCUGGCUGGCUUGAGCUUCUCCGGUGUUGUUCCGGCAAGGACCGUUGAAGCGACACCAUUGUUUUCUUGAUUUUCUCCGAUUAUAUCAUUCAUUUUAUUUGUUAUGUCUAUUUGUUAAUUUGUCCGAAAUUAUACUCUCCGGCGAAGAUAUCGUUUGCUUUAUGUUUUGUACAAAGUUAUUAUAUUCAAAAUAAUGUUGUUUGCUGGAAUUUGGCUGAGAUUUGAUCCGAAAAUAUUUUACAAGAAGGCUAUCCCUUUUGCUGUUUUGUAUUGUGGAAAGUUUGCUCUGCUCGUUUACUGCUCGUACACAAUUCUCUUGGACAAUUUUGUCCUUCACAUUUACUACACUGCUAACAAAUAAACACAUGGUCAAUGAAAUUAUAUAUUUGAGGCCGCCCAUUAUAAAAUACGGAUUUUACUUUAUCAAAGUUAUUAUUUUAAGGUUCAACACUUGUCCGUUGAAGAAAUUUUUCGAUGAUUUUUGAGGCCUACACAAAUAAAAAGACGGAUAUUACAUAUAUAAAUAUGUUAUAAAAUAAUUGGACGAUGAUGAAAUUUUUAUAACAAUGCAAAAAAUUUUAUGAUUCGUAUCUUGUCAAGACGAUUUUAGGACGAUUAAUAAAUCAGCAAUUAUUUCAUAGCCAUAACGUAUUUAAAAUUUAAUUUGAACCCACCUUUUACCGAAAAAUUAUAUUUUAUACAUAUAUGCACACAUACGUUCUCAAUUUAUUUUGAUAGUUAUUUAUUUGUUAUUAAUAUUUUACUACACGUGUUUAUACAGGUUAUAUAGGUUAUUGAGAAUAUUUAUCGGGAAUGGAAUGCAAAGAAUAUUUUAAUUUUUAUAUUUGUAUAUUAUAUUCUUACACUUAUACAAAUAGCAAUUAUAGUGAAGAUUUUAUUUCUGAGGCGUUGGGCGGGAAUGUUUUUAUAUAAAUAUUCAUCAUGC